GCUGAACUACAUCUUGAAAGCUCAUAAGGCUGGCCACUGCUGGGAUGGGGAAUGGAAUAUACUUGACAUUCGGGUUCGUGGGGAUGGUGCAACAUUAAUCAUUGACAAGAUGCCAGUAAAUGCAACUAAAGAUGGAAUUGUUGCUGACCUUCAGAAGUUUAUAGUCCUCUUGCGCCCGUAUUACAAGAUUGAAGGCAUCAAGGGUCCAGCCUAUUUUGACGAAUUUCAUUCUGAUGUGAUGUCUCUCCCUGAGCUUGAGUCUGAAAAAUUUGAGAUUUUCCAGAAGUUUCUUGCUGACCAUAUGGUUUUUCUGCCACCAACGUCCACGUCAAAUUUGCUCGAAAGGCUCUUCAAAUUGUGUGACGACAUCCGUAGACAGAAUGCAGAUUUUGAUUAUCGUCCCCUUCAGCGCUUAGAUUGCAUUGGGUGGACAAAAAUACGUGAUACCAUGCCAUAUAGCAAGAUGUUCCACUAUGACCAAAGCCUUUCAGACCCAUACAAAGAUCAUUACUGGGAUCUCCUCAGAUUUGUGAGGAAUUUCAGUAAUCGUGGCUUGAAGUACACACAGGUAUAUAGUUUUUGUAUUCUAUCUGUUACACAUGUAUUGUAUAAACAUGAAUUGUAUCUGUUCCUAUCCCAAACACAAGAAUUGUAUCUGUUCCUAUCCGCAUAGUUUCUGUACUGUUCCUAUCCCGUACAUGUUGUAUCUGUUCUACUCUUCUAGUUCAAACAUGAAUAUAUAGUUUCUACAUAAAAACUAACUCCAUAUUAUUUUCGGAUGAAGAUCGAUGGAGUCCAAUCAAUCGAAGAUCCUGUUAUACUAGAUAUUAUGGUUGCAUAUGACCUUGGCAGAUUUAUUACAAAGCUGGUUCUGCAUGUGUUAUAUGUGUUUGAAAAACCAAAAAGGUGUGUCUAUUAAUAUCUCCAUCUGUCUUUAUCUGUACAUUUUGUUACAACUUUAAAAUAUGUUCUAACAUAAAUCUUUUUUCUUCUUAGGCUUGUCAGCACCUGGAAUGCAUACAAAACAUCCGAGUGAGUUUUGUAUUUGAGUUUUAUUUUGUUGGGGUUAGAAAAGGGAUUUAACCUUUGCCACUCUUAAGAAUGGCAGAGAGAGAAAUUGCAAUCCCUGAAGUGGGUGGCCUUUAGGAUGUGUCGUUCUGUGGGAAAAACUUAAUUCCCUGUUCUGUUUGUUCUGUUUGGAAAGACUCCAUACAGUCUGAGUUUAUUUUAUGGUUAUGGAUGCAGGGAUGCAACUGAGGAAAUCGAUGAAGAUGGGACUGAGGAAAAUGAAGGGAUUUGAGGGAUCGACGGGUAACAGAUUUAAUAAACAUUAUAGGUCAUUGUUUCCUUGUAAACUGAAGGGCUUGUCAUGAUGUAUGUUCAGCUUAUCGCUCUCUAAAUGUCAACAUUCUUCCUUGUUGCAAUUGCUUCCUGUUCCCGGAGCUCCUGAGAUGCCCCCACUCCAUCCCACUCGUCAAAGCUUUUGAGAUGGAACUAACAUCCACCCCACCCGUCAAGCUUUUGAGAUGGAACUAACACCCACCCCACCCGUCAAGCCAUCCCUGAGAAUUGUCCCUAUAAUUUUGCUGCAUGACUUCAAAUGUGAUUGAACACACAAAGAGGCCAUCUUUAGUUACUUCGGUCUUUUGUUUGAGGUGGAACUAAGAUCCCUGAGAAUCUUCAGUUACUUCUGUCUUUUGAGAUGGAAUGUUUUAGUCAAAAUUAGCUUUUGAAAAUUAUUCUAAACCUGAGGUUAGGAAUUUUGGAUGUCUUAAUGCCUCAUCUCUCAAGCGAUUGUUCGCUUUUGUUCACCGCUCAAUGAACAUCCUCGUGGUCAUAUGGAUAUGCUAACCUGGUCAGCCUUGCCUGUUUGUUUUUGUACCUGUACUUCGGUUGUUUGUAAAUUGGACGUACUCCUAAAAUACUUUACCAUCCGUCGUGUACUAAGCACAGCUGUUCACCAUCUGCCGGAUCUCUCCACGAGCAGUCGUCGGGCUCCGACGCUGGUAUUACACCUCUUGUAGUUGUUUCUCUCGUCCAUGCACCUUCUUAGCAAAUACAGGAACGGAACAGGGACCCAAUCCAAUAGCUAAGAGGCCAGCAAAAUUCACGGAUCACAUUUCACGUCCGUACCAAAUGUACAUCUCAGGUAGGACCCCGCGAUGUCGGGGUGAAACGUCAACAGAAAAAACGUGGAGUCAAUUCCAUGCGAGUCGAGUCAUUACGCUCAUCGUCCCCUUCAGCGCUUAGAUUGCAUUGGGUGGACAAAAAUACGUGAUACCAUGCCAUAUAGCAAGGUGUUCCACUAUGACCAAAGUCUUUCAGACCCAUACAAAGAUCAUUACUGGGAUCUCCUCAGAUUUGUGAGGAAUUUCAGUAAUCGUGGCUUGAAGUAUACACGGGUGUAUAGUUUCUGUAUUAUAUCUGUUACCCAUGUAUUGUAUAAACAUGAAUUGUAUCUGUUCCUAUCCCAAACACAAGAAUCGUAUCUGUUCCUAUCCGCAUAGUUUCUGUACUGUUCCUAUCCCGUACAUGUUGUAUCUGUUUUACUCUUCUAGUUCAAACAUGAAUAUAUAGCUUCUACAUAAAAACUAACUCCAUAUUAUUUUCGGAUGAAGAUCGAUGGAGUUCAAUCAAUCGAAGAUCCUGUUAUACUAGAUAUUAUGGUUGCAUAUGACCUUGGCAGAUUUAUUACAAAGCUGGUUCUGCAUGUGUUAUAUGUGUUUGAAAAACCAAAAAGGUGUGUCUAUUAAUAUCUCCGUCAGUCUUUAUCUGUACAUUUUGUUACAACUUUGGAAUAUAUUCUAACAUAAAUCUUUUUUCUUCUUAGGCUUGUCAGCACCUGGAAUGCAUACAAAACAUCUGAGUGAGUUUUGUAUUUGAGUUUUCUUUUGUUGGGGUUAGAAAAGGGAUUUAACCUUUGCCACUCUUAAGAAUGGCACAUUCCUGAGAAAGAAAUUGCAAUCCCUGAAGUGGGUGGCAUUCAGGAUGUGUCGUUCUGUGGGAAAAACUUAAUUCCCUAUUCUGUUUGUUCUGUUUGGGAAGACUUCAUACAGUCUGAGUUUAUUUUAUGGUUAUGGAUGCAGUGAUGCAACUGAGGAAAUCGAUGAAGAUGGGACCGAGGAAAAUGAAGGAAUUUGAGGGAUCUACGGGUAACAGAUUUAAUAAACAUUACAGGUCAUUAUUUCCUUGUAAACUGAAGGGCUCGUCAUGAUGUAUGUUCAGCUUAUCGCUCUCUAAAUGUCAACAUUCUUCCUUGUUGCAGUUGCUUCCUGUUCCCGGAGCUCCUGAGAUGCCCCCACCCCAUCCCACUCGUCAAAGCUUUUGAGAUGGAACUAACAUCCACCCCACCCAUCAAGCUUUUGAGAUGGAACUAACACCCACCCCACCCGUCAAGUCAUCCUCGAGAAUUGUCCCUAUAAUUUUGCUGCAUGACUUCAAAUGUGAUUGAACACACAAAGAGGCCAUCUUUAGUUACUUCGGUCUUUUGAGGUGGAACUAAGUCCCUGAGAAUCUUCAGUUACUUCUGUCUUUUGAGAUGGAAUGUUUUAGUCAAAAUUAGCUUUUGAAAAUUAUUCUAAACCUGAGGUUAGGAAUUUUGGAUGUCUUAAUGCCUCAUCUCUCAAGCGAUUGUUUGCUUUUGUUCACCACUCAAUGAACAUCCUCAUGGUCAUAUGGAUAUGCUAACCUGGUCAGCCUUGCCUGUUUGUUUUUGUACCUGUACUUCGGUUGUUUGUAAAUUGGACGUACUCCUAAAAUACUUUACCAUCCGUCGUGUACUAAGCACAGCCGUUCACCAUCCGCCGGAUCUCUCCACGAGCAGCCGUCAGGCUCCGACACUGGUAUUACACCUCUUGUAGUUGUUUCUCUCGUCCAUGCACCUUCUUAGCAAAUACAGGAACGGAACAGGACCCAAUCUAAUAGCUAAGAGGCCAGCAAAAUUCACGGAUCACAUUUCACGUCCGUGCCAAAUGUACAUCUCAGGUAGGACCCCGCGAUGUCGGGGCGAAACGUCAACAGAAAAAACGUGGAGUCAAUUCCAUGCGAGUCGAGUCAUUACGCUCAUCAUCCCUGUCGGCAGGAUGUGUCAAUGCCACCAUCUUCAUUAUCUCUCACCAGGCUCAUCUGCCGUCAAUCUUACCCUACGCUGCAGUAGUGUCUGGUGAAGAGCCUUUUGGCGCAUCAGGUGUCAACAGCAGCCUAUCCAAGUGUGUUUCAGGUCUGAUCAGCUCUUUCCUUCAGGCAAGCAAAACGAGCUAUGCAUCUUGCAUGUAAAACAACCAGUUGCUUGCAAUGGAUGCUGGAUUGACAGAGAAGCAGCAUCUUAUCUGAUAGAGAAGAAAGAAACAACUGUACACAUCUCUUGACAAAGGCAAAAGUGGAAAAUGCCCUACAUCACCCCACCGAGCAGGGGGGGAAGAACAUGAAGGUCUUUGCUUUACCCGUAGAAAACAACACCGCCAAAAAAAACCCAAAAAGAUCAGGAGGGAAGCAAGGCAGAAGGAGAUGUACAUAUCCACUGAUCGACUCAACCCUACUCUAGAUCCUAGCACUGGUACAGUGAGAAGCCUCUGUUCUUCCACAGAGAGCUCAAUGUCCGCCCCAGCUUCCGGGACUUGGACUUGCACAGCGGCUUUGACUCCCGGUGGCACACGAUGGCACCACCACCGUUUCCCGCCUCCGUCAGCUGGCUCUGCUGCUGCUGAUGUUGUGGCUGCUGGGGUGGCGGCGCAUCUCGCUGCCUCUGCUCCCUGAAUAGCUUCAGGAGCUUCUGGGCCUUCUCCCUACCCCUCCCAGUCCCAGCCGCCGAGAUGGAGACCAGGGAUGGGACCACCCCUUCCUGGAGCACCGGGGCGAUGCACUUGUCGUCGGCAGUGCACAUCACCAGGAGGCAUGACACAGCCUGCUCCUGCUCCGUCAGCUCGCCCGUGUCGAGCAGCGUCGCUAAUGUGCUGACCAAACCCGGUGUGGACAUGAUCUCCUUCCUGCCGGCCUGGGUGGCUGCAAGGCUGAUGAGCACCGCAAGGGCCUUCUCUGUCCAACCGAGGCCCUCCGAAGCUGGAGACUCGGUGAGAAGACAGUGGAGAGCAUCCACGAUACCUGCGGUAAGGAGCGCCGGGACGCUGGCCUGGUGGUUCGAGAGGUUGUACAACGUGUACAGGGCGUCAUGCUUACAGGAACUGCUUUUAGUGUCGCCGGCCUCUUGGCUGUACAGACAGUCGACUAGGAAUGACACAGCCUGGCUUGAACCGAUGACGGCCUUCGCAUCAGGUAGGCAGGAAAGGUUAAGGUACAGUGCUGUGGAUGGACCAGAUAGGCGAGGAUUUGAUAUCAUCUGCUCGAGUAGAUCAACAACUCCAGCAGAUAACAGAAGUCCUUUGUUUCUGAAAUAAGAAUGGGUAUUGAUAAGUAAAAAUGUUAGGAAAAAAACACUUACACUAAUUUUGAGUUAGCAUACACCCUAGAUAUCUCCAACUAGCGACAAUAGGCAAGCAGCAGAUGACUAGGCAAUAAUACCUGUUAUUGUUGACUGCGAGGUUGAAAAGAGCCAUGGCGCCAACUUCCUGCGCCUUCUCAUUUCCAUCAUUCACGGCAUUCCUCAAGAACUCAACUAGCGCCUCAGCAAACCCGUUUGAGCCUAGCUGGAUCCUUGCUUCCUCAUCAUCUUUCAAAAGAUACCUUAUCUGCUCCACCAACCUACACUGCUUGUUCAUGUUGCUUCUUUCAUGAAGCAAGAGCAGCAAGUUCCCAUAGCCCUCAUUUAAAUCGAAAUCGUUACAAGAGCUGUCAUCCAGCGUUCCUGAUUCGCUGUUUGCCGGCUCCUCCUGUCUCAUACUCUCCAUCGGGACAACCUUGACACUCUUCACAUUGGUAGAAUCAAAACUUUCAACAGGCACGCAACCUGUAGCCUCAGUGUCUGAGUAAGCAAGUCUCCAAUUUACAUCAAAAGAUCCCGGUGGACCAUCAGGAACUGGAAAAUCAUUCUGCUCACACCAGCUGGCGAUCAGGGCUUUGACACAGUAGUUUGGAGUCAAUGACAGGUGGGCAAGUUGCUGCUGAGUUUUUGGACAUGUGCUGUGACCAUCAUUGAACCAUUUCUCAAUGCAAACACGCUCAUAAGUCUGCCCAGAUGAAAUGAUGACUGGGUCAUACAUGAGCUGUAAGGAAAUAGGGCACCUAAGUUCUUCAGGAGGGAUCGACAUAUUUUCAGACCUUGGACCGCCGCCACGUCUGCAGUUGAAUGAUCCGAGCCGAGAAUUGAAAGAUCCAAACCUUGAAUUGAACGAUUGAACGCUCAAAAGCUGUCUACUGAAUGCUCGGCCAUUGCCGUAGGGCCCGUACAUGUCAUCCAUGCCUAAUACUGUAGGCGAGCAGGGAGACGAUCCUUGAGAUUCUGUAUCGUCACCAGCCUCACUUCUGAAGAAUUUUGAGUAUUUCCUCAUGAGAUUGUACAAGUAUGACACAACAAGCUCUUUCCGCUUGUCUUCAUCAGAACGAGCCUUCUCAAUUAGCUUCUUGAGGGCUCUUCUCUCAGUGAGUGCUGCCCUAGAAGAUGUAAUUCCCAAUUUUAGAGCAGCCAUAUGGAAGACAUCCAGCUCCCCACUGUCACUGGAACCAUUUGUUUUAUUAUUUCUCUGCAGCAAAUUGAUCACAUCAUCGCCAGCUUCCUUCUCUGACCGAUCCAAUGUAAAGACAAUCUCCUCUAACUCGCUAACAAUCUCUGUAAUCUGUACAUAAACAAGUUCAGGGUGUCAGUAAGUACUGCGCAUUCAAAUAUAUUGCAAAUUCAUAAAGCAACAAAGGCAAAAGGUAAGAGAACAGUGAUCCAAAGAUAUUGACUAGAUGAGUUUCUUUGGACAAUAUACCUUACAGCUGAUAUCUUCCGUUACUAUGCUUUCAACGCGCCUUAGACUUUCCUGAAGCUGGCUUCUAGAUUUCUCAAACUUCAAAAGCACAGUUUCCGAAGUGAUGGCCUAGAAGUAAAAUAAAAUCACUGUUAUGAAAACUGUUCCAAUCACACAGAUCUCCAAUAGAAAUUGUGGUUCUAUCCAGUGCGUUGUAGUAUCUCAGAGAGAAACAAGAAGUUACCAAGUAGAGCCUGCUGCUAUCUGCACAAUGUUGAAGAAGCCCUUUGGCUUUAUCUAGAGCUACAUGUAGUGAACACAAUGCCUGUAUACCAGACUUGCUUCUGGGUCUUGAUGCUUCGAUGAAAGGGAAAAUGAUGGAAAGCUUAGAUACCGCCGGAUGAAAUGCUCUACAAAUUCCUGCAUGCAACUGCAUAAACAAAAAAAAAAAUCAGAUUUUGUAGUGAAAUUAAGCAAAUCCCAAAGCGAGAAGGUAUAGGUUACAUUAACUUAUUGUAAGUAUAUUACUUGCUCCAUACAGUACAAAGGCCCCUGCUAAGCAGUAGAUUUUUUUAAGAAAAAAGAACCUUAUAGAAAUCAAAGCAUUGCAAUAGUACUAACCAUUGAAAAAAAAAAGUAAUCCUCAUUGAUCAACAAACAUAGGAGGCUUUUAGGAUGUACUUACAAAAGGCAGACAAACAACAGAUCAACAGGAAUACCAUAUGAAUUCACUGUAAAGAUGAUACCUUGGCAUCAUUAGCCAGAAAAGGACCUUCUUCAGCCUCCAUCACGUCCAUUAUUAACUUCUACCUGAGCUCCAACAUCUGAUUACAGGACUCACAACAAAAAGGGAUAACAUUAGCAUUUCGCUCUAAACAUUCUCAAAAGAUAAAAUUAGAUAGGCUUUUCCUAAGGACAAAAGGAAAUAACAGGUUUGGACAUUGGAGAAUGGGACAAAGAAAACAUCCAGCCAUUUCUAGUAGGAAUGGAAGAGAUAGGAAUGGCUGAAAUCUACUGGCAAGCCCACAACACACUGUUGUCCAAAAAUCAACUUUGGUUUUCAGAAACAACCCACUGAAAAGGACGUUUCCUCUACAAAAUUUGUGAUUUCCAGCUCCUGGAGCCCAAGACAAUUUUUUAUCAACCAAAUUCACCUGUUUUGAACAAAUCUAAGGCUCCAAUGUAACCAGCGUGCUGCAUUUGACUCUUAUCAUGCCAAAAAAUAAAAGAGGAAGGAAAGAAAAAACAGGUGUCGGCAGCUUCAGGGGUGGACUGUGGACAUAGCGUGGGGCAUAGUGGUUCAGAUGAACCGACAUUUUUUUUUCCAAAAUACAAAGAUCAAUCUUGCGCGAAGAACUGCUCGAGCCAUCGGUGUUGAUGAACUUUAGAGGGCGUGGCGCCACGCAGAACACAAAUCCACAACUCAAUGGUGGAUUUGAUUGCUCGUGCCUACAGCUAAGGAAUGGAACUCUCGGGGCACCCAUCCAAACAAGCUAGGAUUGCUCACCAAGGAAAGAAGGAAUCACUCCACGGCAGGACGGAUCUCCACCCCACGCCACUCCACCAGACCGAGGGAGGAGCACCGCGCCCGCGGCGGCGGUGGACCGAGAAUCAGGCUUAGGGAGGGAGUGACUGUGCGGCGGCGACACGAAAGGCUGGAGGAGGCGAGCUGCGAGCCCAGGUUGAGCCUCCAGAGCCAGCCUCGCAGGGAGGCCGCGGGCGCGCGUGGAUGAGGAGCGGGAGGCCGAAUGCAGCCACACCUUGGCGGGCACACUCACCACGCUCUAACUUUGAUCUCUACCAGUACUGACAGAAAACGGAUCUCACCGGCGAGGUCUCCACGCGGCUCCGGAGCUUGCCGGCGACGGCGGCGGAGGCGGAGGGGGAGCGUGGGGCGGUGGGGGGAGGAGAGAGAGGAGAGAAGGGAGGAAUAAUGGAGAGUGGGGGGACGUUGGAGUUGAGAGUGGAUUUUAUUCAGAUUUCAGGGCCUGGGCCCGGGAAAGUGAAAUAAAUGCCAUUUUCUUUUCUCCCUGUGGGGUUUUCUUUUAUUUAAUAAUGUUUCCUAAGGGGCUAUUGAAAUGGUUCAGCUCCCUUCUCUGUUUAUUUUUAUUUAUUUUUGUUGCAUCAUUGCUUAUGGUGGAGUUUGGAUAAGCUUUUCAGUUUCUUGGAAAUGAUUUGUCAGUUAGACAAUGUGAGAUGUGGACUUGUUUCUAGUAGCAUGGUUGGUUAGUGUCUUAGCGAGCAUGUGUGUUUGAACAAAAUUGUACAAAAUUCACACUCCAACUUUGGAAGUUAGGUUUAGGUUUUGUUUGAUCAUUUAGUUUUUUAAUAUUUUCCUUUGUUUCAUCACCAGCCAUGUAUUUUUUCUCUACUACUCCCUCCUCCUAAAUUAUAGGUUAUUUUAACUUUUUUAAAUUUAUAAAUUUUGCUAUGCAUAUAAACAUGCUAUGAAUCUAUAAAGCCAAAUGACCUAUAUUUUAUAGGAUGGAGGGAGUAGUUCUUAUUUAGUAGUAAUAGAAGAAAUGCUAGAGAAUUGAUGUUAGCGACUUGUGGCUGCCUUUUAGAAACCCUAUAGAUAGUGAUACAAGGAUUGAUUGUUGAAAUUCUAGGCACAACAGAGUGGUGUGUAUCAUACUCAACAUUAUGUGGAGAAAAAAGUGUUUUAUUAGCCAUUCUUAGAAAAAUUUUAUAUUAUAGUCGUGGAUAAAAAAAAGUUGGUAAGCCGCCGUUUGUCUUUCGUUUUAGUAAAAGUAGGAGAAGUGUCACUGUUCAUGAAGGGUUCAUUCGAUCCAUGUAUGAGUUCUCAUAUAGUUACAAACAUCCAAAGAGGCAUGUCAAAUACAAGUUGUAGGAAGGGAUCCCAAUCAAAGCAAGAUGACCUAGAUGGCAAGUCGUGAUGUUCCGUUUUGUUCCUCUCACUCCCUCUCCACGAUGAUAUUGAUGUUCAAACUACUUGGUCAAAAUUUUCAGAAUGACUACAUCACCUUAUUUUUUUCAAUUUACUUUACAAUGAACUAAAAAAUAUUUACUUUACAAUGAAGAAAGAGCAUCUCAACAGCGUAUCUGAACUCAUGAUAUAUGUGUAUAAAAUAAAUCACAAAUCUUCAAACGCAAAAUAUUUUCCCUAAAAAAAUCCAUAUGAAAAAUAAACACCAUUUCCAUGAUUUUUUGGGGGGCAGUUUUUCUCUCACACACUAGUACCGUAUAGUAUUUAGCCGAGAACGGUGCUGUGAUGUCCUUGCUGAUCGACUAAGGGCCUGUUCGCUUCAGCUUAUAAGCCGAUUGAAAAGCUGAAGCGGCUGAUUUGUUGUGAGAGAAAAAUACUGUUUGGUGGCUGAUAAGCCGGCUGAAUAAGCUGAAGCGAACAAGGCCUAAAUCACUGCAUUUUCUGCAACCAGCACAUGAUUGAUGUUUCUGCCACACACUUCUCCAAAGUAAAGCCAAGUUGCAUAUGCCCGUGGCUAAACAUCGCCACUCCCAAACACCCUUUCGGCCUUUCUUUCUCUAAACUAUGAACCCGCCGAUGAAUGUGCAAAUGGCACCAAAAUUAGAUCCCAAACUUAACAACUGGAACCAAGAUUAACACAGAGAUCUAAGCUAUAGUGCCAGCAUAGUGACCCCCCUCCAAGUGGGGGGUUUUCUAUUCCCUUUGCUGCAAGGGAUCUCUGAUUCCAUCCAUCAGAUGCCCAAACCAAACCAAACCACAGCCCAGAGACAGGAGGUAUAAACAAACAAAUCUUGACAUCCCAACAAAAUUGUUUAUGCAGCAGUACUAGCCGGUUGAUUAACUAAGAGAAAACAAUGCAUAAUUAUGUUUGAAUGGCCCCUCCACUGGCAGAUGAUUCCAUGCGUUUCCCUAGCUUUUUUUUUAAUACAGAUUUAAAUUUGUCAGAGUUAGAUCAAGCCUUGCUUUCCAGUGGAUCCUCAGAGAGACCAAAUCAUGCAUUCACCCGGUGAGUUAUUCUAAUUCAGUCAUCAGAGAGCUAGUUUAAGAAUUAUUAAGAGGACAGGGCAAGUGCUAGCUUUGAGGUGAUGCCAUGAGGCUUUAGGCGACAGGCACUUGGGAGUCGUAUAGAUGAUAGGGGCCUGGACGUGUCAAGGAAUUAUUAGCGUCUUUAGGGGCAGGGAAUAAGGGAAAAGAUCUUGCUGUUGGGUGGAGGCGUCGUUUGGCUGAUGACCAGGCUUUGGAGAUGGAUUAAAGAAAGGGGAGGGAGAGAAUUGACCACUAAUCCUUCCAUGGUGUGAGAUUAUUGCUCGCUCCUUUUUGAAGCAUUUUGUCUUUCUUUUGGCACCCUUUUUAAUCUUCUAAGUGCUGGGUAUAUGUUUCUGCACCAACAAUCUUUGAACUAGCAAUGCUGUCCACUAGUUAAUAAGGGGUUAUUUGGAUCUUUAGUCCGGACUAAAAUUCAUAUCACAUCAAAUAUUCGAAGGCUAAUUAGGAGGACUAAACAUGAGCUAAUUAUAAAACUAAUUAGACAGAUGGAGGCUAAUUCACAAGAUGAAUCUAUUAAACCUAAUUAAUCCAUCAUUAGCACAUGUUUACUGUAGCAUCACAUUGUUAAAUCAUGGACUAAUUAGGCUUAAUAGAUUCAUCUUGCAAAUUAGUCUCUAUCUGUGCAAUUGGUUUCGUAAUUAGUCUAUGUUUAAUACUCCUAAUUAGUAUCUAAACAUUCGAUGUGAUAGGAAUUUUAGGAGUGACUAAAGAAACAAACACCCCCUAAUCUUGUUUAGAAUGGAGGAAGUUGGGAGGAAUCCUCAACCCUGAAAGACAAAAGCAAUGGAGAGAAGGAUGGCAGUCUAAUCCUGAAAAACAUGCAAAUUGAAUAAUCCAGUAAAGAAAGAAUCCCAGGGAGCUAUUGGUCCUCUCUAAGCGAGUGCGGUCAAUCGACAAGCUCGCGGUUAUGAGAGGUUUGCAGGUACAAUUGCAACGCAGGCAGACCUACACAGAAUUAACGCUUCUUGCACGGAGAUCAGGAGGCACUAAGCUACUCCAAGAUCCAAAUCUUUUGUGAAGAGAGAGAAAGAGAGAAGCACUGCUUGUACUGCUAACAAUUCACCAUACGCAGUAACAGCGGCACACGUAGCAGUGCACAUGUAAAACGAUCCAUCACCCAUCACUGUUGGCCACCAAAUUCAUUUCCGACCGAUUUGGACGUGUUGCCGGGUACUACUAGAUGCACGUUUCGCCCUGUACAGCAUCCGAUUUCGCCAUCGACCCACUCUCCAUACAUGUUACUGCAUCUCGGACGACCAAUUGGUGAGCCGAUUUCACCGGCGAUGUAAUCUUUGUUAAACAUUGUCAACCACAUGGCAGCAUUAAUCACCGAGGGAGAGCCUUGGUUACAUACAUUAAACCUAGGAUGCACAAAUGUCCAAGUGAUGUGGCAUCAACCACAAUUUUAUAAUGGCAAAAUAGGCAUCUUGAUCCUGAACUGGAUGAACUUCGUCCCUCAACUUUCAGAUUAUCCAAUUUAGUCCCUCAACUUUCAUUUUUAUCAAAUUCGUCCUUGUGCUGAUACGUGGCUCCAUAUUGGUAUGAAACUAAUACAAAAUGUCCACUUUACCCUUGGCUCUUUUCUCUCUACAAUUUUCACCUUUACAAUUACAAUAACAUAUGAUCCAAAAUAAAUAUGAGGAUACAUAUGUUUGCUACGGAGUAUAAAUACAUACAUGGAGUAUGUAUAACAUACCACAAGUAUGUGAGAACAAGUUGAUUUUAGAACAUGACUACACAUAUUGAGUUGUAUAUAUACCAAAAGAAUAUAAGUAAAUACUUAUUUGAGUACAUAUAUUUUGCAUAUCAAAUUCGUAUGAGCACAUGAAUGACUUUAAAGAGUACGAAUAGAUAUACUUUUUAGAAACCAUAUUUUGUGUUAGUUUUAAAAAAUAUAUUGUUAUGUAUAUGUAUUAAGGGAGUAUGAGCACAUACGUGUUUGACCUAGAUGAGCCAAGGGCAAAAUGGAAUUUUUGCAUUAGUCUUAUGCUAACAUUGAGCACCACAUCAACACAAGGACGAGUUUGGCCCAAAAAUAAAAGUUGAGGGAGUAAAUUGGCUAAUCUGACAGCUCGUUCGGCAGCUGCGCUGCUGGCUGCUGGUUGCAGCUGCCUGCUUCUAGUUGCGCUGCAUCUACUGCUUCUUUGUAGCUGGCUUGUAUUGCAGGAUGCCGCAAUUGAGUUCAAAUUUUUAGCGGGAACGCACGCAAUUGAUUUUGAUUUUUUUGGCGCAAACGCAGACCAACCAAUCAAAGUAACCCACCAUCACCAUAUCAAUAGUCAAUAAAUCAGUGUCGUUCUACUAACAAGCAUUACAAUAAAAAAUUCCACACAACUUACUUGACAUACAACAUAUGGUAGAAACAAACACACAUAGACAUAGAACAUUACAGGGAGGCAAACAACGAGGCAUCCAGUACCAUUGCUAGGGUCUGCUUACUCAAAUUCCACUACCUGGCUGCCUAAAUGUCAAAAUUUGCUGUCACCACCUGCGUGUACCCAUUUUGGUAUAGCCAUAGGUCUCACCAACAUCUAUGCAAACUUGUAUAGAAGCAAAAUCCAAAACCAGUCAUACCUGUUAACUACAUCAAGGAGAUUCUUGCCGUAAUCCAAUCUCGUACACUUGCCAUAUCAGGUGUAGCAUUUGCUGCCACCCAUGCAGACACGGCGUAAUCCGGAGUUCGUGCCAUGUUCCUAUAUGCGGUACUUGCAUCGGCACGGUCCAACAAAUAAUUGUGGAGUGCAAAGCAAGCAAUAAUGAUCUUUGUUUGCCUCUCUCGAUCAUAGAAUGAUACUUCUCACAAAAUAUGCCACCUCGAUUUGAGCACGCUAAAUGCCCGUUCCACAACAUUGCGAAGACUCGAAUGGUGGAAGUUGAACUUCUCCUCCAAACUUUCAGCCGCUCUUUGGCUGAACUCCUCUAGAUGGUACCUCGUAUUGCGAUAUGACCCCAGAUAGCCUUCACGAACUGUGUAACCCGAGUCCACCAGAUAGUACCUUCCUACACAGAAUCAAACAUAUUCACCAUUAGUGCAACACUUUUACAAUUGUUGCUUCAUGAAUGUAAUUAGCCAACUAACAUACCUAGAGGUGGAUGUGGGUAAUUUGGUGUCUCCAUACAGUCCCUCAACACUGCCAUGUCAUGACUGGACUCCGUCCUCCCUGCUCCUACAUAUGUAAACCGCAUGUCCAUAUCCACUAUGACUAACACAUUAAAGCUUGACCACCCUUUCCUAUUAAUAAAGUCCAAACGUGACUCACACACGAAUUUGUACGGGAACGUGAGUUCCAUCUAAAGAACAUAUGCACCCAUCAAAGAACGGUGCAUAUGGGUUGAGCCUAUUAUUAACCUUUGAGUACGACUGGUCCUUUGGAGCAAUAACCGUCUGUGCGAAUGAAAACAUGAAAUCUGCCACAUGAGCCAUCUUCGUACUAAUUGUGUCCAAUGACCGCUCAAAUCUAUCUCUAAUCUGUCUAGAAGCCUGUUGUGUCCCACAAGCCCAGACGAACAUAGCUAAAGUCUCGAUAGAUUCGGCCCCUUGUGUUGAUUCCAGCCUAUUAUAAUUAACUAAGAUAUCAUGCAACUGAAGAAAUACAUCAGGAUACAUACGAAAAUUGUCGUAGCACCUCCAACUUUCCCGCAUAUUCAGCUCAACCCAUUGAUGUCUGGUCAUCCGUGGCAACUCCACGGGCGGGUUCACCACAGGAGCUGGACUUCUGCUCGCAGCUGCAAAUGCUGCUACAGCUGCUGCUACCCUUGCCAGCUGGUAUACGAUGGAGCUAGCAUCACUGCCAAUGUUGUUGUUUGAUUCCUCAGCGUAGCUCAUAAUGCAAGCAACCUGUGCACAGAAUAGACAUUAAUGGUUCAGUCAUAAGUCUAUAAAGUAAAAGUUUCGCCACAAGUUAUAGAAUAAACUAUUUCAAACCUGUCAAGGAACUUCCCUAUCCUCCUCCCUGGAUGGCUACAUAGGUCCACAAUGGUCCUCCACGCCUUCCUGGUACAAUGAACAACAAGAUAAAACUUCUUUCUCACUAAUGAACAUGCAAUGUAAAUCACAUGCGUUUUCAUGUAAGAAUGAAAUAGACGCACAUGCAAUGUAAAUCAUGGACCACAUUUAACUUGGAAAAUUAGACAUCACACACAACACAUUGUUCAGGCCAGAGGCCACAUUACAUACUAAGAUAUUGUUCUCUACCAUCAGUACACAACACUACAAUAAAACCAACGGAUGCCACAUUGAACUACCUGUUCUCCCUCUCCCAAUUUUAAUUGGAUCCAAUGCAGGCGGUCCUCUCUGGCUUUCAUCUUCAUGAAGGCCCUUCGAUUCACUGCAUUCUUGCAUAAAUAUAUUGCCAUACAGUACAGAUCAGACCCCUCAUCAAUACCAUCUUCUUCUAAAAUCUGCAUUGCAAGGUCCAGCUCCUCUUGCUCAUGGCUGAGACGUUUCUGGCUUCUCGUAGCUACAAUUUCAGAGAGUUCUCUGACGUAGUCCUCCAAGCUGUCACUCUUUUUUUUUGGAGGACUAUCAACAACUUCCUCCGGGUUAGCCUUUUAGAUAUAUUACGAGCACUGCUAGCAGCCAUAGGGUCUAGGUACAUGUCUGCUGGAGUGUCCUCGGUCCCAAUCCUGGGUGUUGCCUCACGAACACCUCCUGCAGUUAGCAAGGUCCCUCUAUCUUGGGUGGUGUGGCCAAACAGCGUGUAAAGUUCGUCAAGGAACGAUGGUGGUUUAGGAGUACUUGUCUAGGCAGCACUAGCACUAGUUUCCUGCAGGUCACAACACUGCAUGUUAAACAAAAUUUGUUGCUCGAAUUGAAUGAACAAGAAGUAUUGCAAAGGUGACAGCAUGUACCCCUUCGUCGGUAGCCCAAAAAGUAGAAUUAGGUGCAACACCAUCAGUAUGUUUGUCACGGCCUUGGCCUGAUUGGACUUGCAGGUCCCUCUAAUUCAUGAACGACCUUUGCAUGGUGCUCAGCUUAUUCUGCAGCUGCUUGCUGCCUAAAGUUAGACCAGUCUGUUGUUUGAAGUUGCGGUAGACGUGUUGCCAUCCCAACUUAGUUAGGCAUUUGUUGCUCCAAUUCAAUUGGUUCUUCUCAACAAUGCAGAGGUUGAGGAAUAUUUUUAUUGUCGCCUCAUCCCAAUUGGCACGGCUGCUAGCCAUCUGAGCCCAGUUGUACAAUGCAUAGUUUGAGUAGGUAGGAGCUGCAAUUUUAUUUUAACAAAGAAGAAAACGCAGGAGAAAUAAAAGUAGACAAACUCAAUACAUAAUGAACAUGUCACUUGCCUUAGCAGUUGUCUUGGCGCAUUUGUAACGGAGAUUGUAUGGACAGGCUGGUGGGGGAGAGCACGAAGAAGUGGAUGACGAUGCCAGUGUGGGCACCGUCGUGAAGGCUAAAAGUGUACUGCAGGUAGGCUCGCUGCAGAGGACUGCAUAUGUGCAAAAGAAAAUAUUGUCAAAUCAAUGCUUCAAAUUUGCACUCAACAUUGCACCAGAAUUUAGUUACUAAUCCAAUAAAAAUUUAGAGAAGUUUAUGUCAAAAUUAGCAGCAAGAUAAACCAUGAGGUAACACAGUGGUGAAGCACUAGUGCAGCAACAACAAUGUAAAACAUGUGUCCUGUAUAUUUCAGAAACAAGGUAGUACACAUUUCAAUUCACCAAACCAGUAGCAUAUCAAGCUGCUUGAGUACCAGAAUUUAGUUACUAAUCCAAUAAAACUUGCCUAAAGUUCUAGAUGUUCUACUUACAUCAAACAAAGACCUCAACAGGGAGGGAAAUCAAAACAUUUGAUCUUUUGAUAUGAGAAAACACAUGAGCUGCUCCUUCUGAAUGGAAAUAUCUGCAAUUUAGAAAUGGUGUUUUCAUAACGCUAGAUGAAAAAUUAGCAUCAAGCAAAAGCAUGAGGUAACACAGUGGUAAAGCACAAGUGCAACAACAACAUUGUAGAAUCAUGCUGACUUGUAUAUUUCAGCAAAAAAACUACACAUUUCAAUCCACCAAACCAGUAGCAUUUGAAGCUGCUAGAGUACCAAAUUUAGUUACUAAUCCAAUAAAACUUCCGUAGAGUACCAGAAUUUAGUUAGUAAUCCAAUAAAAAUUCAAAGAAGUAUUUGUCAGCAUUUACUAUGAAAAAUAUUUAUUUGUACCAGGAAUCUAUGAAUAUAGUAUAGUAUAUUAGUAAAAUUUCUGGUUAUCUAGGCAAUUUCAACCAAAAGAGCUUGAAACGGAUUAAAACAAGGAUAAAGUAGCAUGUCACAUAUGAAACUAGGCCAAGCAGACAAAAUUUAGAGAAGAUAAAAGGCAGAAAUACAAAAAGUCAGCACCCUAAUACUAGUACCAACCCUACAGAUGCUACAAAGGUUCAGAGAUGUCCCACACUCAAUCAUAAAAUCGAAAGUACUUAAGUUAAGCACCCAAACCACCACCACCACUAUCGCUAAAAAAUAUCCACUUGAGCAAGAAACCUAUGGCGGUAAAACUGCUACAAAAAAUGGGGAUUACCUGGAUCUAAAUGGGGGCUUCCUCAAGUUAUGGCGGUGGCAGGGCCAGAAUGUGGCGGAUGGGAGAUCUGAGUGAGGGCCUCUUGCUCGAGUUGGUAGGCGGGGGGUGCCACGGUGAAGACAGCGGCCGCCGCGAGCCUGGAUCCCGGUUGCCGUGCUGGGCGGUAACCUAGAUUCCUAGCGGCCGGCUUCACCCCGGGUGCCUCGGCUCUGCGGGUAGACGACGGAGGACGCUGUGGGGGCGAAUGGUCCGGCAUCGGUGAUGAAAAGCCCACCCCGUGCUGGAUCUACUUGCUGGAGGCCGCUUCGCCGAUGAAGGGAGGAUGACGCUGGGGACGGAGAAGGAGGGACCGAUGGUGGCGGAGAGCGGGCGAGAGCGAGAUAGUGGGCGAGAGGAGAGUGAGGUGGAUAAGGUUUGCAUUGUUGUGGAUGGAAUGAGAGAGGGAGAGAAAAGGAGGUGCGAAGCCGUCGGUGGGCAGCCGAAUGGCUAGGCUCAUUAGCCCAGCCGAAAAAAGCACAACCGGCUUUUUCAGCCAGCCGAACGAGCUCUGAAAGUUGAGGAACGAAGUUGACUCUCAGGGAUAAAGUAACUAUUUUGCCUUUUAUAAUUGCAAAGUCAUGUAGGAGUAGAAUUGUAGACCGAACCCACACCACACGUACCGUACGCACACCUGUAUAUGGGCGGCUGUGUUUGCAUCUGCGGAGGGAUGGAUGAGACAGAGCUGAAUAGCUGAUGGAUGAUUCAGACAGAAAAAAAUAUCUCGCGAUGAUUGGAGAUUCGGAGGCGCCACGGGCGGACGGGUGGGUGGGGGAGACAGAGGAGAGACGGCGGCCGGAGCCGGGAAAGCCAGCGGCACAUGCGGCCGGCCGGGAAAGCUAGCGGCAGUAGUAAUUGGGCGGCGCUAGUUUGCUUGCCUUGUCCCGGCUCGCCGCCCGCCGUGGCUGUCGGCCGCGCGCCGCCGGCCGCACCGUGACGACUCAGAGCCCAGAAGGGUGGCGGAGGCGCGCGCGGCGCCGCUGUAGCCGGGGCCCUCCCGUUGAAGCCGGGACCCGGGAUCGGACGGCCACUGUUGCAGUCCCACACGUGGACGGACGGUAACGCGGCUUAACGCCCUGGGCCAGCGAUCGUACGUACGAACCGGUCGGCGAUUGGGCCCAGCCACGCCACGCAUCCCGACGCCCGCGGCGGGUCCCAGCUGGCGCGGGCGGGGGGUGGGGGGGCACCACGGUGGCGGUGCCGGCUGUCACCUCGUGCUGUGCUGGCAGGUAAGCUGACUACUAGCUGUGGCCACCACAGCAUCGCCACCAGAGGUGGUGGCAGCCGAGGCCCGGCUGUCCACGCGGCGACCUCCUCGUGCUUUGGAGCCACCGAGCCAGCCUACGUGGUCCGUACCACGUGCCGCGUGCGCGUGCAGCUGUAUACAUUUGCCAAGUACUGGGAGUAGUAUCAGGAAUAAUAAUAAAAAGAAUAUGUUUUUUUCAGUUGUAUUCCUGUGAAGCGGAAGCUAGGUACACAGAGAAAUAGAGAAGCAGCACGUUACGGCACAUGCGCAUUCGCAGCUACGAUUCCGUCGCCUUCACUCAAAAUACACCACCCCAUGUAUGCUGCAUGCAUGCAGGCAGGCAUGAAUUGUUGGUGAGCUCCAACCAGCCAACCAACCAAGCCCGGAAGCCCCGCAGGCACGCACCGCCACCGUCGUGCCCCUGCAUGGGUCGAUGCCGGGUGCGAUGCGACCGUUUCCUUCCCGCGCACUCAUGCGCUAGCUAUGCGAGCCCGUUCGUCUUCCUUCAGUUUCACUUCAAAACGUACCUGACGGCUAGCUGACGCCACCAGCCAAGCUCGUCCCUGCACGCACGCAUGAGCAUCGCUCGACCUCGGCUCGUGUGUGUCUUCGUCGCCACUUGGUUCUAAGCUGAGCUCCUCUGUUUUUGCCAUGCACACGGGCCUUGGUUCUGAAUGAGUGAAUGGGUUUAGAUUACGUGGUCUGUCCCUGAAAAAUCCGAAUAAGAAAGGUUGCUUUUGUCGCACUGCAUGAUCCGGCCGGCCGGAUCGCAGCGCGUAUUGAUUUUCGAUUUGGUUUGUGGUCGGCAUCGACCACAUGCGAGAUUCCUGCUGCGGUGUUAUUAGUGUGUGUGUUGUGAUGCUUCUGCAGGUGGCGGUGGUGGCCUCCUCUCCUCCACACCCAAGUGAUGGAUCCAACACAACAGAGUUUAAGCAGGGCAUCGUCGUGCCUAUAUGCUCUUGAUGAUGGCAGCGGCAUCACAUCUUCACCAGUGAUCGCGCGCACGGCAAUCAUCUCUGCAUCCAUGGGCCUGGCCGGCCACCGACACCAAUUACUGCAGUGCUGAUUUUGGAGGAACUGAAACCACGCCAUCGCUACACGCAUCAGUUGUUUUUCUAAGAUAAGAACUCCUAUACGGAGUAUGUUUUUGUUUUACAAUACAGUAUCGCUAUGUAUUCGAAGAAACACACACUGUUUCCUAGGAGGCUUCCAGAUGUUUCCCUUGCAGGAGACUCUUGGCGUCAUGGUGGUAGAGGCGCCCAACUGCCCAAGAUUAUCGGGGGUGUUUGGGAGAUAGGGGCUAAACUUUAACCCUGUCACAUCGGAUGUUCGGAUACUAAUUAGGAGGACUAAAUAUGAGCUAAUUACAAAACUAAUAGCAGAACCCCUAGGCUAAAUCACGAGACAAAUCUAUUGAGCCUAAUUAAUCCAUCAUUAGCGAAUGGUUACUGUAGCACCACAUUGUCAAAUUAUGGACUAAUUAGGCUUAAUAGAUUCGUCUCGCGAUUUAGCCUAGGAGUUGUGUAAUUAGUUUUAUAAUUAGUUUAGAUUUAAUACUCCUACUUAGUGUCCAAACAUUCGAUGUGACGGGGGCUAAAAUUUAGCCCCCUCCUCCCAAACACCUCCGGUACCUUGUGCCCCAGCCCCAGCAGCACCAUGAUGGUAACCUGGACCAUAGAGGCAACCAGCUCUUGACCUCCGCACACCCAGGGGAGACAAACCAUGGUUGAUCACACGCCAAUGGUCGGCGCAAGUCACAUGAGAGAGAAAAACGCAAAAACUUCUCUCGCUCUCCACAUGCGCUCAUCAGAGGUUUCUACGUAUACACGGUCAACAAUAAUAAUGCAAACUCCUGCCGGCACCAAUGAUUGGCCGCGGCCGGUGCCUGCUCUGCGGUUCUGCCUGCAAGCAGCCUCCAUUAUUUGCUCCUCCUCUUCCUCGAGUUCCCAGCAAGUGAGUCGGCAUUCAAAAAUAUCAUCACACACUAAACAGUAAUGCCAGUACACUUAGAUCAUGUCACACACACACACACACUAUCAUAUCAUAUUCAUGUCGUGUGGGCCAACCCAGCACAAGCUUCAAAGCUUUGAGAAAAUAAAUGGCGAUGCAAUUGAUAUCUAUGCUUAGUACAAUCAUUUGCGUGUGCGUGUGGUUGCAUUUGCAUGCAUGGUAAUGCUAUGGCGCCUAGCUGCUGCACUUCAUGCUUAUUGCUUGCUACUAGCUGUCGUCCACAGGCAGCUCCAGCUCGGCAGCUCGCCGUGCGCCGUCGUGAGACCUCAUCAAUAAUCCGCCAGCGGGCAGCGGCGGGGCUAAACUUCCUCGUACGACGGCCGCUCGUCCAAACAUUGGCUCUGCUCUGCAUCCGGCAAAAGUUAAUACGAUUCCAAGUGAAAAAUCACCGCAUUUGCCUAUCUUCGGCAAUUAGCACUACUGAACUUGUAGCCACAUAGAUCUCUAGUGGCUCCGAUGGAUCAUGCCAUGCAUGUGGAUAUUAGGAUAUAGCUCUUGGUACUAAAUGUGUUUGGCCCCGGCACAGUUAGCUGGAGGGAUGGAUCGGGACACGCUGAUUUGAUAGGCCGUGGUGCUCAUAAAACCCCCGAAAAGGCGCCUUGAUUACGAGUAGUUUAGGGUGUGGAUGGGAGCGCGCGAGAGACCACUCGUCCCAUCAUCCAUUUGCAAAUGUGUAGUCGGCACUUGCAAGCUCAUCAUUACUAGUGAUUAGUCCCGUAAGGAAAAUAGCUUUAGGUCAUAAUGAUUUUGGUGAUUAAUGAUAACAGGAUUAAUGUGUUUGCAAGAUGUACCUUUGUAGGUGUUUUAAGGUUACAAGAUCAUCAAAAUGAGAAGAAAAAGAAAGACUUAGAAGAAUUCUAUGGCAUUCAAAUGAUAGUAAAAAAUUCAGAGGUAGUCUUAUUCUAAGACUUAUAAAUGAUGGUCAUGAAGACGGGAUAAAGACACGCAAAGAUUUGAAGCGAAUCCUACUGAAAAUAUGCACCGACACAUUCCACUGACUCAUACUCUAGUAAUAAUAAUCAUCACCAAUUCAAUCGGUGACCACACGACAAAGGUAGGCGUGUGCACCGUUACCACCGAUUCAUACUCUGGUAACAGUAACCGUCACCGAAUCAGUCGGUGACCACAGCCAGGGGCAAGGUAGGCGCGUGCACUACUAGCACCGAUUCAUACUCUGGUAACAGUAACCAUCACCGAAUCAGUCAGUGAUCGUCGGCUUGGCUCAGAUCGGCUCUGGAAGUUUUGGAGUAUAAUUGAGCCUCAUCAAUUCAUACAGUGACCAUGGCAGCGAAUGAGUCGGUGAUGCGCAGAAAGUUGCAACGGCUAUGCAAUGGCUAGUUUCUUGGCUUGGUGCUAUAAAUACCCCUUUGCCUAGCCAUUUCAAGGGUGUUAGAGCUUGGAGAAGCUAUAGGAUUGGUUCUCACAUACACACAAGUGCUCUAUUCACCAAAGUGCUAAAGAGAAGAAUAAAGCAAUUAGCAUAAGGCUUAGGUCUUGUUUAAUGCUAGUUUAGACCUUUUAACGCAUUGCUUUAGGGAUUAGCGUAGAGUUAGGCGAGGUUUGCACACCGUAUCGGUGCUUGCUCACACCAAGAGUGUAAAUCUGGGGCUUGUAAGUCUUGCGAGACCCUCCAUUCGCGUUUGUGGAGUGGCCGCCGGUGCUUGUGAGAGGGAGGAGAGGCCCUCAGUGUUUUGCCAAAGCUCUACCAAGUGAAGAGCGGCAAGGAGCAUUCGGAAGAGGCUAGGCGGAGACCCACUUGCGUGUGGGGAAGACCCGUCGGCUAUCCCACAGAGUUACUUGACCGAGGAGUUUAUGCUCUUGCGCGGGCAUUAUCUUUGAGAGGGGCUCCAACAAUGAGAACUAGUGGAAAGCUUUGCUUUCGAUACUUCGGUAAAAAUCACCGUGUCGCCACGCCGGGAGUUUACCUUCUCUACCUCAUUUACCUUCCGUAUUUUUUUAUUGCACUUACAAUUCCGCGUUUACCUUUUCUAGAAUUGCCAUGUAUAAUUUAUAGGAUUGAAACUUAGGGUGCAAAACUCUUUUGCAGUAGAAAUAGCUAUGUGAAUAUUUAGAUAGAAAUUGAUAUAGAUUUUUAUAUAGGUUUGGAGCUUAAUUUUUAAAACACCCGAUUCACCCUGGUCCUUCAAGUCCAAUCAAAAUCAAAUGGAUCAAGCGGCAGCUAGCUACGCCGAGCGUUACUACAAGCAUGCAGCUAUAGCUAGCUUGCUAGUCAAACGGCCGGAUUCCCGGCUGGUCUUAAUGCCCAAAGGCGACGUGCAAUAGGGAAGUGGCCAAUCAUGAAUUCCUAGUCCGUGCGUGUAUCGGCAAGAUUAUCUGUUUUGAUCGAAAUGAUUAUUCUUUUUUUCUCUGAAUACACAAAUACUCGUUUCUCUUAAUUUAAUAGGCGAAUUGUAGGCAUAUGGACCCAUGGAUGACUAUCGAGGUCAAGAUUCCUGCCAACAGUGGGGCUGUGAAAAGGCCUCUACGGAGGGACCAUACGACGUGAUGUCUUUCUUCCCAGUAUUAGUCAGCAUAAACAGCUGAAUUAUCGGCACAUCACAAGGAGGCCGGAAAAAACUACAUAUACUAAGUCCUGCCUCUAUUUUCCUUUUUUUUUUGUCUGGCACUGCAGCGAGAUGUUUCUCCUUGUAGUUUUCUUUUGCCGCCAGUAAUUCUUCACCCCUCUCAGGCUCAAUUCAAUGAUGCUAAACAAAUGGAGAUGUGCCUGAAUGAUAACAUCAAAUGCCGGAUGGCAUACUCCGAUCGGAAGCACAAGCAGUUUAACUUCUCAACUGAAAAUGUUCAGCACGUACCGCCGCUUAACUAACUCAAUAAUGGCACACACCAAAUCGCCACUAACACAAAACGGUCAUGAUCAAUGCGCUAAUGAUGGCCACGCUGGUGCGCCACGAUACCCAGCAUAUACAUCAACAGAAAGCGCCGAGCGAUCAAUGCGCAUGUGCGUGUGCGUAUGCCCCGCCCUAGAUAAUAGGCCUACCAAACCCUCGCUCCACUCCUUUGGCGCCAUCAGCAGAAACAGCAAGCCCACACCUAUAUAGGCCCCGAAUGUGCUUGCAAAUACUUGCAAACUUCGGCAUCUACAAUCAUGGAAACCCCUAGAAAAUUUCAAGCCCCUCUUGGCACCUCCUCAACGCAUGCACACGCGUGUGGAGGAUAGCAAACAAGAAAGGAAACAAGAACGAGGAAGCGGCUAAAAACGCACCCCUAACGAGGUGGUAGGAUAUAAGGAUAGCUCAUCGAGAUGGCGUCAUCAUCGUAUGGUAGAGUUCGUUCCCUCUGGUCAAGAGACGCAGCAGGCCUCAAGAUCACCACCACAAGGCACAGGCAAGCGCCGCGAGCAUGUGAGCCGCACAUGACGGUGUCCCCCCCGGAACCACCCUCUCUGGCCUCUCGCGUCCUUGGGCAUCAUCGUCGCGGGAUCGAUCGAUGGAUAGAUCGGGGGCACGCACAAGCACAGCUUCUUAACGGGAGGGGAGGCGACGGACACGGACAGGCUCCAGCCUCCAGGUGCAGCGCAUGUGCCGCAACGGACAGCGCCCAGCCACCGCGUUGGAUUGCUGCUGCCGCUCCCGGCGGAGGGUGGGCGGGGGCGGCUACGGAGCACAAGGGCCAGCCACAGCCGCCCGGGAUGGCAGGGGCGACGCCGACGCCCGACGCCAUACGGGCAACUCGUACUUGCCGUGUCCGUGCGCGUUGCCGCACGCUUGCUGGGUGUGUCCUUGCCGUCACGCGUCGAGGCUGGAUUGGGCACCGGCGGACGACAGGGCCUCCUGCUUCGGAUCGCAGUAAAGCGAGUCACCACCUGGUUGUUGGCUGUUUUUUCUCUAUAGAUCGUCGUUGCUCUGGACAUCGUGCUCUGCUCGAUCUUUCUCAUACACUGAUACAAGUGCUUGUUGGGAGUGCCCUGUUCUAGUUUCGUUUCCCUCUUUCUUCUCUUCUAUGGAUAAGAAUUUUUCGCCUCUUGAAUGAAUCCAUCCAAUAAGCCAAGCCUAACUGCCCUGCCUGAGAUGACUUCCAGGCGAGGAGAUAUUUAUUUAGGUCUUCCGAAAGAAGUAGCAGCACCAAGUGGUAGUUAAGAGCCUAGUUGCGCGAUUACAUAAUGCACAUGGCGCUCAACUGAAAGCAUUGUCACUGUCACCUUAACAAAGGACACUCCCCCACCCUCCAUUUAUCUUUAUAAGGCGUGACAUGACUUGACACGGUCUCCUAAAUUACACUUUGACCGUUCAUUUAUUUUAUAUUAUAUUGUUUAUGAUUAUAAACUUAUGAUCAUUGGAGAGUACAUUUGAUGAAGAAUCUAACCAUUACAAGUUUAUAUUAUAAAAAUAAAAAAUAUUGAUUAAAUUAUUGAUUCAAAGAUUGUAAAGUUUGAAUCUUAAUAUACGUGCACCUUAAAAAACAAAAACGAGGGAGUAAAUUAUUGCUGUUGACUUGCCGAAGAGUACCUCCAGCAGACAACUACUCGCCGAAAGGUUUAUAACCAUCGCCUGAGGCAGUAGCUCCUCUUUUGACCUUGGGAUUGGACGAAAUGGUAAAAGGCAAUGAGGUAGUACAACCUAAUCACCUAAACCUUUUUACGCCACAACGAACAAAAAGUAUUGCAGGGGGCAUCUACCGGCACCUGAAAAGAUGCCAUGACACUUUCUUAUCUCGAGAAAAGGAAAAGGAUGCCACUUCCAUUUUCUUGGAUGAGCAGACCAUGACUACCAUUCCUACACGAAAAUAUGCCUGCAAAGAGACCCUCACAGAAAAGGGGCCAACAAUUGGACACUUCCGUAACAGGCCCGUCAGUGGAUCAGAUCAACGAGAAGUGAUCAGCCCAGGUCUCAUCGGGUCUUCCAGCAAGAGGCCUGAACAUACACCGCAGGCUCUGUAUUCCCAGAGGCAUCAGCCAAAAACUAGUUUCUAUAACAAAAACACCAGGCAAGCACAAGCAGAGGAAGGCCAAUGAAAUUCUAGUAGCAUUCAAUUAAGAAUGCUUCUCAAUUUAACUUCAACCAGAGGAGUCUUCAAGAUAUGCAGCAUAUAUACACGACUACAUCACUGCAUCUUACCGACCCUUAACAAUGUUUAAAUAGCCACAAUACCUGACCCUCCCUCAGCACCUACGAGCUCUCAGUAUGAUUUCACAAAAAGUGGAUUCUCUUCAGGAUACACUACACUAUAUAAGCAUAGUUAUAACUGAAGGCUAUUAUAAUGAGAUCACAGCACUGCAUGCCGGUGACUUCAUGGCCCAAAAUAUUGUUUUAGUGGAACAAUCGCUUCAUAAGUUUUGUUCCCACUUGCCAGUACACCAGAUCACUGGUUAAGCUUCGACUACAGCUGCUAGAUCCUCUUCUGACGACGUUUCUGGUGUGACAAUCUCUUCAGGCAAAUCACUUGGGGAACCGCCUUCAGCCUCCUGCUCUUUUGGUGCUUCAGUUUCCAUCAAUUUCUUAAGUUGCAUCUCUAGAUCUUUUGCAACACUCUCAUUUUCAGUAAGGUAAGAUUUAAGGUUAUCUUUACCAUGGAAAGUAAUAUCAUUGAAACUAUAAUAUGCUCCACUAAUCUUCUUGAUAAGUUUGCGCUUCAAUCCGAGUUCAACAAGCUCAGAACUGCGGCAUAUCCCCUUUCCAAAUUCAAUCUCAAACUGUGCAGUCUUGAAUGGUGGGGCAUGCUUGUUUUUCACAAUCUUCACAGCAACUUGACUACCUAUUGUCUGCAAAUAGAAACAAUUAUCAUUCAAAAGCAACAUAAAGUUACGUGCAUACUGUUUCAGGGAGCACCAAAUCUUACUACAUGCAAAUCUAAUAUAAGUCAGUUAUUCUGAUUCACUACGAAACAAAACCACUAAUAUUUAUGCUUGUAGAGUGACAGCACAUGUAUGUGCCUAUAAGUUGCCUAUUCUAUGUGUCUAGUAGUGGUUCUGUUAAAUAGGUCUCAUGCAGAAAUGGACAUCUCUGUUUCGACAAAGUCAUGCUGUGAACAUACAGAACUUUACAUGUUAAAGUAUUGACUAAUAAUAGAAAACAUGGAAAUAUUAAAGAUACGGCUUAGUUAAAUACCUCUUCUCCUUUCUUUACCAAACCAAUACGCUUGAUGUUCAAGCGAACAGAAGCAUAAAACUUCAAGGCGUUGCCACCGGAAGUUACCUCAGUCGGUCCCCCAAAUCCAAAUGUGGCUACCUUGGCCCUGGUCUACAAUGGCGAUGAAAAAACUAAGUUAGUAGCAAAAAAUACAAAGCUCAUUGCAAGGAAAAGAAUAGCUAGAACUUCAAUAAAAAACAGAUGAACUGCAUGUAGAAAUGCUAAGACUGCACAAGAAAAAUCUGUACCCCUUCAAAAAAUGGACAGAACUGUUAGCUAAUGUUUCCUGAUCUACAGUAUGACAUUCUUUUUUUAGCUUUAGAAGCAUGUAAUUCUGGAAUAUGAAGGUAAAUAAUGUACAAUUGUAGUAACAAGAACAUGUUCAGACUUGUUUAUGUGAUGCUUCACUUCAAUGUGGCAAAUAAUGAAAUCAAUAAUUCAAUGCUACAUAAAUUACUUUAACCAAAGCUGAGGAAUUAUGUAUGACUAAUACCUGAUUAAUAAAUAACAGAAUUGUCUGGGAAAGUGAAAGGGAGUGGCUCAGCUUGCGAAGAGCUUGGCUCAUCAAUCUAGCCUGAAGAGCAACAUGUGCGUCACCCAUCUCCCCAUCAAGCUCAGUCUUUGGGACAAGAGCUGCUACCUGCAUCAUUGAAUAAAUAAUAUUAACUGUAAGCUAAAUCUGAAAGAAAGAUAUUGUUUCAGGCUAUUAAAAUUGAGCUGCAUGCUUGAACUGCUAAUUGGAAAAUGUUUUUCCAAACUAAAAUGGAACUGCACCACUGCACAGAUUGAGAGUAACUCCGCUCAAAAAGAGAGAAUCAGAUUGGUGAAGCAGCUAGAUGGAGCUAGGUCUUACACUGUCUACUACAACAACAUCAACAGAUCCACUUCGAAUUAGUGUGUCCACAAGACUGAGUGCCUGCUCAGCACAGUCUGGCUGAGAAAGGAGUAAAUUGUUGGUGUCAACACCAAUUGACUCCGCAAGAGCUGGAUCCAAAGCGUGCUCCGCAUCUACAAAGGCACAGUAACCUAGAAAAUGGCAAAAAUAUAAAAUCAUUAAGAAUAUUUUAACAGAAGUUGAAAAACACAAGCUUGUAGCUAAAGAUAGAAAUUCCUGUGCACGUAAAACUAAAAUUUAAUCAUUUUUUAAACUACUCAAAUGAUUGUGCAUGUCAGGGAAAAAUGAUAAGGAUUGGUAGACAAAGUAUGUUCAUACUAGAGAAAGGUGCUGUCGGCCGACUUCUUUUCAUGUUUCAUACUCUAAAUGUAAGACAUACUUUCAUUUUUACUUCAGGUAUUGCAACUCCCAUUCUUCAAAUAGCUUUUGUUUAAUAGGUGGGCUAGUAACCUUUUUCAAGGAAACUGGCAUCUGUGAAUGAAACUGAAAAGCAACCUAUGUUCAUGACUUGUGUUAAAAUAGAAUACUUAAAGAAUUACGAAUCAUCAUGCAUUGGAGGAACUGCCUUAAAAAUUGUCAAGGUUGGUGUGGUCUCCCCUCCUAGGUCAGGGAGAGGGAGGGAGGGAGGACCCAGUUUCCAUAGGAUAGUGCACCCCUUAGUGGUGAAUGCUAUAAAAAAGCAGCUGAGCAUUAAAUUAACAACAUCAUGUGCAUGCUAUAAAUAAAAUCUUAAACUUCAUAGUUUUGGUUAUCCUAGUUAUCAAGGUACUUUCCUCUUUUUUCUCUAUCCUAAGUAGCAAGUUGCUAGGUCAAGGAAAUCAUACUAUAGAGGGGUAGAAAGUUCUGAGUUUACCCCCAUUCUUUUGUGCUUCUGCAAUGACAUGUAGAGCAAGAGUUGUCUUGCCUGAAGCCUCUGGACCAUAAACCUCUAUGACACGCCCCUACAAAAGAUAUUGGCGCGAAACUUUUACAAAAUAAAAUAAGUCAACGAAGAACAUCAGAAACUAGACUAACUGAAUUUUUCCAAUUUGAAAAUAAAAUCAUGCAAUGAUCAACUGAAAAGAAGAUCUGCUUAAAUAAUUUAUAUGCAAAUGCAUACCUUUGGAAACCCACCAGUUCCAAGAGCCAUAUCCAAAGCAAAAGACCCAGUAGAUAUUACAGGUACAUCUCUAUGGCCUUGUGAACGGCCAAGCCACAUUAUUGCCCCCUUCCCAAAUGCUGAUGUUAUUUGAUCGAUAGCCUGGUGUAAAGCCAAGUCCUUCUUCGACAUAUUCUCCUCACCAGAGUCAGUUCCACUUGACUUUGACUUCUUUUUCGCUACAUAGGCAAGAGAAUCAGUAAGUGAUCCAGUAGGUAGUAGGAGAGGAGCAUAACAGAAAGAAAGGAAAAAGUCAUCUAGUAGUAUAAUCAAGUUACAGUGCAGGUAACAAUAGGAGAUUAAGACAGCGACACUACGUGGAUAGCACGAGGGGAACUGCAGAUGCCAAUGCUCACUAUAUAUAAUAAAAGCAUGUGAAAAAAGCAUAUGGGAGUUAAACUACAACCUUUAGAUGAGAACUCUCGGCAAUGAAACGUGGAGCCACAGAUCCCUUGCUUAUAGCUCUGCGCAAGUAUUAGAGAAACAGAAAAAUAGUAAAUCACUAGGAAGAGCCUUUUCUAAUUCUAGUGCAUGUAUCACAUUGCAUCCAAUGUUAUUACUUUUUUUAAUUCUAGUCAUCCAGUGUUGCAGUUCAUACUAUAGACAAAUAAUGAGCCAGUCAAUCGGAUUAGCACUGGUCAUCCAGUUAGCAUGGCAUGAGACUGAUUGUAACCUCUGGAAAGGCAGUGGUGCCUCUCUACUAAUCUGACACAUAUAUAUUAAUAGCAAUGGAGUGUGCUUACGACUUUGUAUGAUGAUUGGAAAAACAAACUUACCACGCAGUAUGGGGAAACGUUAUUUCCCACAGAAACGAGAUAUUUAGGCGGCGCUCAAUAAAGCAGGGAGAAGUAAGCAUUAAGCAAGUGAUCAACGUGCAUCAAUUUAGUGAGAUAAAAGGUCAGACAGGAAAAUAACGGGUUUGCUCAGUCGGCAAUUGAGAUUCCAAUGGAGGAAUCAGCCCCCAAAGGCCGCGAUUUCACAUUCAAACGAUCGAACUCAGCGACGCCGCGACCAAACUAGGGUUCCCACUCCCAAUCAGCACGCUGGAAACACUAAACUAAACACAUCGAUCAUUCCACCGGGAACCCACCAUUCGCCAACCCAUCCCAGCCCAAAAUCACAAAACCGAUUAAAUACAGCGGAGAGAACCUCAGGGUGAGAAGAAGAGUAGGAGGCGGCGGCGAUGGCGCGCCGCAGCGAGACGCGCCUGAGGAGGGUCGCCAUGGCGGCGGCUUCGUCCCCAGCCGCUGGAAGCCGCGGGGAGAAGGGCGGGGGCGGAGGAGGAGGGGGCUAGGGUUUAGGGUUUUUGCGGGGCUUGGGGUUUUGGCUCCGCUCCGCCCGCUUUUUGAGUCCGGUCUCCGCCUCACCGGGCUCCCACUCCGGGUGUCGGGAAGAGCUCCCCCCUGGCCGGCGGUCGCGGGACACACCGCGAUGGACCGCGCGUGGACCCAUCUCAGUGCGGAGCCAACUGUUCAGAGUCUCAAGAUGACCCACCCGUGGACGUGGUCCACAGAGGUUUCUUUAUGUUGACUGGAAGCGGGCCCACAUGAACUCGCCUGAUGGGCUCGCACAGAGGCCCAUCAAUGGACGAAUACGUAUAAGGCUUGGCCCAUUUCGCACCGUCGUAUCCCCUGCUUCCAGCUUGCAGAGUUGCAGUACAUCCUCAGAUCCUCCUCCGUCCUCCCCUCGCGUAGGCUCGUCGUCUUCUCCGGCUGGAACCUCCGGCCAAAACCCAAACAAAACCGCUGUUCGGAGGGGCUUGCCUUGAGUGAGAUUCAAUCCUUCGGGGCGCCAUUGCCGCCUGCUUCCUCUGCUACGAGAGGUGGGUCCUUUUCCAUAUCCAUUUCUGCUCUUCUCGUCCCGCUCACUCCGUCGCUGGAUGCUCCUGCUCCCGCGGCGUUGCUUCUCUGGGGGGCUGACCACUUCAUCUCCAUCCUCUAUUGCCUCCUCGGAUGCGGCAGCGACUCAGGCCGCAAAUCGUGCAGGGAAAGCGGCACAGCGGCGCGCGGCUGUGCGGCGCUGCUGGCGACCUUGGGGGAAGUCCGUACCGCGUACCGGCCCCUGCCUCCGGUGGCCGUCCUCCGGCCUCCGCAGAAGCAUCCGCCGCUCUCGCAGCGCCGACCGCCGGCGGCCUCGAGUCGGGAGCGCUGUCGGCACAGUAAACCCGACCAAUAUUUUUUGCAAAUCGCCCCCUCAUUUGGAUCGCGACUAUUAAUCGCGAUCCAAAUAUUUUCAUAAAACCCCCUAUUUUGGAUCGCGAUCAUUAAUCAAGAUCCAACUAUUUGCUCAAAACCCCCUAAUUUGGAUCGCGACUAUUAAUCGUGAUCUAAUUUUUUGCGAAUCAGUCCCUCAAGAGUUUGCCGGCGAGCUGCGGCGCCCUUGACGCAUGCGGAGCGUGCGUUCACACCUCCCUCUCCUCGUAGCCGUCCUGGUGCUCCUCCUCCCAGUGUCCCUCCUCUUCCCGCUGCUUCUCCACGUGAGAUUCGCGUGAAUUCGCCGUCUUCCCCGAUCGCAAUCUCGCAACAAAACCAUCGAAUCGAGCUGCUGGUUUGAGGGAGGGCCUCCUUUGAGUGAGAUCCAAUCCUCAGGCGCCAUUUUCUUACUGCGUUCCCCACAAAAAAAGUUGGGUUCUUCCCAUGACCGUCGAUACUCUUAUCGCCCCGCUCGCUCCAUCACUGGUUGCUCCUGCUCCCGCGGCAUCACGUUCUCGCCAAUACGAAACCUCGCGGCGGCGUUUCGUUGGUACGCCGGCUUCAUUUCUCUUAGCUUAUGUGAUUUUUCUGUGCUUUGGGUUAUGGAACUUAGUGACCUUUGUGGCUCAUGGAUGAGGUCUUAGAAUACUCAUGGAUCACCAAUUGAGCAUUUUGUAGAUGAACUGGUGGUGUAAAAUGGGAAAUUAUUUGUGUCCCUGGGUACUGAACCAAAUGUUAACCUGCGAAUGGAGUGUCUUGAACUGCAUUACUACCUAUCUUUACAUCUCUAUUUGUCUUUGGACGUUUGAUGCAUAUGAAAAGUCGCAUAUGAAAAGUCGGGCAUUUGCUUAAGUUUGUUCACAGUGCAGCCUUAUGUUGGAUAUAGUGCUAUUAGUGAACUAUAUGAGCAUUUUAAAAUAAACCACAUAUACUGGAGGAAUGACUGAUGCCUGUAUGUUUUGAUGCUGAUUUCAGUUAAAACAAAACUAGCCAUGGAUGUCAAGAGUUUUGACCUGGGUUGUUCCUUGGGUAUGGAGAAUGACAGUCUAAGUUUGUCGCCAUUUCUGAACAAACUUUUCAGAGAGGUCUGUAGUUUUGACACCCCAACCUCGAGGCACAUUACUUUGCAUUUUGAUGAUGAUUUGAGUUGCAGUGGGAGGAUCGCAAGGCAAGGGGAUUGUUUCACCAUGACAUCAGCUCGUGUGAAACUAAGGUUUUCUUUUCCAUUCUCUCUGAUUAACUGCCCAAGUUUCUUUUGUUGAUUUUAUUUUUUUUCUAUUCUAAUUCUAUACAAUCAUGUGAUGAUAGGUACUACCUGGACAACACAACUUUGUGGCAACAUUAAUAGAAGGACGUGAUCAAAAGAAACGACCUACUGAGUUCGGAAUGAACCAAGUCCUCCAGCCAUUUGAUAGUGGGAAGUUCAAUUUCACAAAAGUUAGGCCAGAGGAAGUGAUCUUCAGAUUCUGUGAAGCUGAUAAAGACUCUGCCCAGUAUUUUAAUGAUGCUCCUGAUACUAUUUCAUCUUCAUCUAGUGCCAUUUUGAUUAAUGUCAGUGUGUUCCCCUCUCAAAAAUUCACUUACACCUUACUGAUAGAAUUAAAACAUGAUUGAUCGUUUGUCAUUUCCACAUCACAGGUGAGUCCAAUUGGUUACUGCCAUGUUCUUUUGACCCCACAAAUCCAGGAUUGUUUGCCGCAAAGGAUUGAUCACGAGAGCUUCUUAAUGGCCAUGUAUGUUGCUAGGGAGGCAAGGAAUCCCUUCUUCAGAGUUGGUUAUAACAGUUUGGGUGGCUUUGCAACUAUCAACCACCUUCACUUCCAGGUUAGUCUUUAGAAUCGUAUAGUUGUCAAUUGCACUAAGGCAACUGUCCCUUUUUCACAGUACCUCUCAGCAAGUCCUGUACUGACAUUUUGUUCGUUAGGCAUACUACCUGAAAGUACAGUAUCCAGUUGAAAAGGCAACCACAGAGAAGCUCACAACCCUAGUCAAUGGUGUGAGCAUUGCCCAGCUGGUGGGUUAUCCAGUAAGUGGUUUUGUGUUCGAAGGUGGGGCAAGCCUUGAGGAUUUGUCAUGUAUGGUUUCGAAAGUCUGCAUCUUCUUGCAAGAGAACAACAGACCUUUCAAUGUCCUUAUCUCUGAAUCCGGCAGGAGAGUUUUCCUCCUACCACAGGUAUUGCCAUGCAACCUCCGUUGUUAAAGUUCUGAAUUAUGAAACAAUGUUCUUAAUUCAUACUUUAGCAUUGUAUUGACAUUUAUCUCCCUCCUAAUCGAUCGACCAGUGCUACGCGGAGAAGCAGCUCCUCGGAAAGGCAAGCCAAGAGUUCCUCGAAAUGAGAAUCAAUCCCGCAAUCUGGGAGCUCAGUGGCCAUUUGGUACUGAAGAGGAAGAAGGACUACGAUGAAGCCUCUGAGCUAUACAUAUGCAGAUUUUUGGUUGAAGCAGCUGUUUCUGAAACAGAAUUCCAACAGCUGAAGCAAUGUGUGCUUGACUUCCUGACUGCCUCUGCUGCUUGUAAUUCGGAUAUAGAUUACUAGAGAGUGGUGACUAAUGAUUUUGGGUACUGUAUUCAUAACUGUUACGAUGGUAUAUCAUACAUUUGUGACGACUGUUCAUCUCUGCAAUGAGAAACACCUGUCUUCUCCAUCUGCAAUUUCACAACAAAACCACCAGAUACUGGUACACAGUAGUUGGCUUUGUAUUGGAAAGUAGCGCACGGCUUGGGGAUUUACCGAAUGUGCUUCUUUCAGCGGUCGAAAUAUUCGUUGAAGGGAACAAUAGACAAUUCAGCUUCCUUAUCUCCGAAUCUGGCAAGAGAGUUUUCCUCCCACAACCAUUACUUAUUGCCAUGCAACCUCAGCUGUAGAAGUCCUGAAAUUUGAACUUGCUCAUUCUUCAAAGUCUAGCAGUGGGAUAAUACCAUUUGCCGCCCUCAUUGGAUCAGUGCUGUACUGCUAUGACAUGAAGGAGCUCCUUGGUCCAGCGAGUCGAGAGCUCCUCUACAAAGAAUAAGUCCAACGAUCUAGGAGUUCAGUGGCCAUUUUGGUACCGAAAAGGACUAGAUUACAGAUUACUAGAGUGAAGCUGGUGAGAGAAACAUUCUGAUUACUGAUUGAACAUCAGGAUUUGAAGAGAUUCGUCCUGACUCAUGAGUUCCUGACCGGGGCUGCUGGAUGCAACUCUGCCAUAAGUUUGCCUAGAGUGCUGACUAAACGAUUUCGUAUCACUACAGGUUAAAGAAUUAUAGUUGUAGGUGAACUAAAUUGGUACAAAACUGCUCUUAUGAGAUGCUAAUAACGCGAUUUAAGUCUCGAUCAACAUUUAAUUGAGUACUAGUGUAGUAAUUUUAAAUAGUUUGUAAGGUAUAAACGGCCUAUUAGCUCAGUUGGUUAGAGCGUCGUGCUAAUAACGCGAAGGUCGCAGGUUCGAGACCUGCAUGGGCCAAGGUUUUUAGUUUUUCUGAUUCUCUUUUGAAUUAAUUUAUUUUUUUGCAUGGGGCCGCAGCCCGGGGAUUUGGGCUUUACCGGCUUCAUCAUCUUUCUUCCCAGCUACAGCAACGCUAAGCCGUACUAAAGGGACCUGUAUUUUUAGCGUAUUCACGUGGACGGUGGCAUGGCUGCAAUCUUGCAGACGGCGUGUUUCAAGACCACGAGUGUAGGUGUUGUCAGAGCUAAAGUAUCAUUAUACAGGUCGAUCAGUGCAUGCUGAUCGAUCUACAAGUAUUUUGACUUAUCUACAGCCGCCGAACCAAACGCAUGCACAGUUUUUUUUCCCCUCUCUUCAUCGUUUAUUCUAUUACAAAACGCAAACGCAUUUCAUACAGACACCGACAGCGAUAGAGAUGUGAAAGUUGACCCCAUCCAGAAAGCGGAGUGCUCGGGGCUCCAUGAAACAAUCUCACUGCUUUAUGUGUCAGGGUCGUUCAGAAUUAUCUUAAUUUACUUAGACUUUUAGUAAACGCAUACGUGUUUUUGUUUAUGACGGGUGAUUUAGAACAAGUCAUUACUGCGCCAUCAGCUUCAACCAACCGUGCCUACGUACGGCUACAGAUGCCGUAUCCUCACGUUCAACCACGUGUUCUAGAAAUCAAUCCUCCCUUGGGUAGACGAAAGGCUGUACUGGAUUAGAACUUGGAAGGCUCUAUAAUUCCUGCAUGGCAUUUGAAGUCUGUAGCUGCAGUGGCCGAUAUAUUUUUACUAUUUUCUUUGUUGAUUGAAAAAACAUUUAAAAAAUAGGCAAAAGCCCAGAUGGGCUAACGGGCGGAUCAAGAUGACUAGCCCGCCCGUAACCCGGGCAACUACUAGAUUUAGGCGGCCAGGCCGGGCCCACCGCAUCUACUGCGACCUGCGUUGUGCGCCAAACAUGAAACAUCCGGGCCAGGACUGUACUCGGCCACGUUGCCUAAGUCCUACCUCUCCCCGUCCGUCCAGCCCACACAACUCCCUCUCUUCUUUACCCGGCUUGCGCUUGCGCCCAGCGCUGCGCAAAUUCCCCUCCCCCCAAACCCAGGCUACCCGAUCCGGAGCGUUUCUCUCUCCGCGAUGGCCGAGCAGCCCCCGCCCGGCGGGAUCGACCCGCGCAGCGGCUUCUGCGCCGCGACGCGGACCUUCCACAGCCUGCGCCCGUCCUCCACGCUCCCGCCGGACUCCCUCCCGGCCACCGCCACCGCCUACGCCUUCUCCACCCUCCGCUCGCCGCUACCCGACCGCCCCGCGCUCGUCGACGCCGCCACCGGCAUUGCCGUCUCCUACCCCUCCUUCCUCGCCGCCGUCCGCUCCCUCGCGGGGGGGCUCUGGUCCGCCCUCGGCGUCCGCCCCGGGGACGUCGCGCUCGUCAUCGCUCCGUCCCGCCUCGACGUCCCCGUGCUGGACCUCGCGCUCAUGUCCGUCGGCGCCGCCGUCUCGCCCGCGAACCCGGCGUCCACCGCCGAGGAGUUCGCGCACAUGGUCGCGCUCGCCAGGCCGGUCGUCGCGUUCGCGGCCCCCGAGGUGGCCGCUAAGCUGCCGAGGGGCCUCCGGUGCGUCGUCAUCGGGUCGGACGAGUACAAGAGGCUGUCGUCCGCCGGAGGCGCGUCGCCGCCGCCGCCGGUGGCGGUGAAGCAGUCCGACACGGCGGCCGUGCUGUACUCGUCGGGCACCACGGGGCGGGUGAAGGCCGUCGCGGUCUCGCACCGCAACCUCAUCGCGCUGAUCUGCACGCACAGGGCGAACCGGGAGAAGGUCGAGAAGGAGGCUGCCGAGGCCGGCGAGGAGCCGCCCCCACCCACGGUGACGCUGCUCCCCCUCCCUCUCUUCCACGUGUUCGGGUUCAUGAUGCUGCUCAGGUCCGUGGCCAUGGGGGAGACCGCCAUCCUCAUGGAGCGCUUCGACUUCGGCGCCGCGCUGCGCGCCGUCGAGCGGUACCGCGUCACGCUGCUGCCCGCGGCGCCCCCGGUGCUGGUGGCCAUGAUCAAGUCCGAGGAGGCGCGCCGCCGCGACCUCUCCUCCCUCCUCGUCAUCGGCAUCGGCGGCGCGCCGCUCGGCCGCGAGGUCGCUGAGCGCUUCGCCGCCAUCUUCCCCGACAUAGAACUUGUUCAGGUUCCACGCACCCUGCAGAUAAUCAGUUAACACCAAGGCUCUCUUGUGACGUUGUGCGCACGCCAGAUUCCAUUCUGAAUCUAUGUUUCUGAUUCCAGGGCUAUGGUCUGACGGAAUCGUCUGGAUCGGUGGCUGCCACGGUUGGUCCGGAGGAGUCCAAGGCCUACGGUUCGGUUGGAAAGCUGUCAUCGCACAUGGAGGCUAAGAUCGUCGACCCCACCACCGGCGAGGCGCUCGGGCCGGGGCAGCGCGGGGAGCUUUGGGUCCGUGGACCAGUCAUUAUGAAAGGCAAGUAGACUAAACCUUAGGGGGUGUUUGAUACCCCGCUAAACUUUAGCACCUGUCACCAUAUCGGAUCAUAUUAGAUGUUUGAUACUAAUUAGAAGUAUUAAACAUAGUCUAAUUACAAAACUAAUUGCACAGAUGGAGUCUAAUUCGAAUCUAAUUCACGCGACGAAUCUAUUAAAUCUAAUUAGUCUAUGAUCGGAUGGAUUAACUUUUGCACGCGAAGUUCUUCCGAUGAUUAUCCAUUCCCUAGGACUUUCAUCGGUAAUAUAAUCACACGGUUGGAUUGUACAGUUUUGUUUUGUCCGAGUCAUGGGCUGUUGAUUGCCGUGUCUGAAGCCAUGCAUUCCUGUCAUUAGACCAAGCUCUUCUAAGGGCCAGUUUGGCUCUAGGGUGUUAAAAGUUUAACACCCGUCAUAUUGAAUAUUUGGAUGCUAAUUAGGAGUAUCAAAUAUAGGCUAAUUACAAAACUAAUUGCACAGAUGGAGUGUAAUUCGCGCUAAUUAGUCCAUGAUUUGACAAUGUGGUGUUACAGUAACCAUUUGCUAAUGAUGGAUUAAUUAGGCUUAAUAGAUUCGUCUCGCGAAUUAGCACAGGGUUUUGCAAUUAGUUUUAUAAUUAGCUCAUGUUUAGUUCUCCUAAUUAGCAUCCGAACAUCCGAUGUAGCACCUCGUAUCCAAACAUCCCCUAAUUUGCAAGCUGCAUGGUUUGCGUGCCAUGUGUUUCAUGGGGGCCUUUCUUUGUCAUUUUGCUUAAACAUUUGUCCAUCCAAAUCCAAAUACAGUUGGUCAGUGCAGUACCUUUAUAGCUACAGAUCUGCAUCACUGGCAAUGCAUGGCUGCCUGUUCUGCUACUUUAUUUCUAAUGAAUAGUACUAAUGCCAUCCUGGCACUGAUAAGCAUUCAGUGUCCGUUGAAAUUGUAUAUUAUCAGCGAGCCAUGUGGACAACAUGGUGUUUUAUGUCUGAAAAACAGCACUUCUUUCGCUUUCAUGCUUGGCGUAGCAACUGUUUAGAAUGUGAGCUGGUCUGGGACGCCAAUGAACCGACUUCAUCAGAUUAUUUCAAGGUUUGCUAGUAGCAGGACACAGAUCAUAGAUCAUAAGUUUUUUGUCAUGUUUUUAUUUUUUUUAAGGCAAUACGUUCCCAGGGAACUUUUUUUGUUUUAUAUAUUUCCUUUGAAUAUUGGAAAUUGUUCAUUUUUGGGCUACUACAUGAGUCAUAUGAUGAUUUUUUCCAGGUUAUGUGGGUGAUGACGAGGCGACUGCAGCAACAAUGGAUUCAGAAGGCUGGUUGAAAACUGGUGAUCUAUGCUACUUCAAUGAAGAUGGUUUCCUCUACAUUGUUGAUCGAUUAAAGGAGUUGAUAAAAUACAAGGGAUAUCAGGUGAUGCAGACUAUCACAGCUAGUACAAAAACUGCGAUAAAAUUACCAUUGAAGGAUUUUAUCUGACAAAUUUUUGUUUGUGUUUGCGUGGUACUGAUAUAAAUCUUGCUUCAGGUGCCUCCAGCUGAACUGGAGCAUAUCCUGAAUUCUCAUUCUGAUAUCAUGGAUGCUGCAGUUAUCCCGUAAGUACCUGGCAGUAAACCUGUGAAAUUCUAUACGACUAUAGAUUCGAACUAAUGCUGCUGUAAGAUUCCUUCAUCAUGGGACAAUAUGUGAGAUGUUCCUUCUGUAUGCACUAUGCAGAUAUCCAGAUGAAGAUGUCGGGCAAUUACCAAUGGCUUUCAUAGUGAGGAAACCAGGCUCAAACCUCACCGAGCAACAAGUCAUGGAUUACGUGGCUAAACAAGUAUGCUUCUCCUUUUGAUUAGUUCUGCUCCAUAUAGUUUCAUAUUGAACUACAGGUGUCCUGUCAUAGUCAACUUCGUUCAACCUUUUUCCUAAACAAAUUGUGCAAGUUGCCAAGUUGAGUAGAAAUUCUUGCUAUUUUAGUAUUGUUAGUUCACACUGGUUUUGUGCUUGUCUGCUGUUAAGCAUAACAUUCUUUGCCCUGAUGCAAAAGGCAACACUGAAACGUCAUGUACUACUAUAGCAUACUGUUUGCAUGUAUCUAUGGAAAGCAACCUAACUUGCCAGCGGCCAUUCCAGCAAGGGAUCAUGCCGCCACUGAUCCUUUCUUUAUGCAUGAUAUUCUAACAACCUUUUGCUGGAAUAACUUGAUAAUGCCUUAGCACUUCAGGCUAACUCCGGCCUGAUUUUUUUCCUUUUAUGGCAGGUCGCACCGUACAAGAAAGUCCGCCGAGUGGCCUUUGUCUCUGCAAUACCGAAAUCGCCUGCCGGGAAGAUCUUGCGGCGCGAGCUUGUACAGCAGGCCGUGUCCAUGGGUGCCUCCAAGCUUUGAGGUUUAUGCUGACUUGGAAAUCUAGGAGGAAAGUUCUUGUGUAGUAUACCAUAUUACCAGACCCGGGAUUUGUACUGUUAGAAUAAUUAGGUUGUUGGCCCAUUAUUUAAUUGAUCAAAUAAAUCCCAAGGCUCAUUAGUGGUGGUAGUUACACUUGGAAGUUGAGAGGGUCUCUAACCAAUCAAUUUAUAAGGUGGAGCUAUGUUGCAUCUGUUGAGAAGCUGAGGGAGGGAUAGCAGGACGCCGCGCGCCGCCCCGCGCCGUGACCGGACGGGAUGUGUGGGCUGGGCUUGGUCAGGUUUUGUUAACAGACGACGGACGGGAUGUGUGGGCUGGGCUUGUUCAGGUUUUGUUAACAGACGAUUGAAUAGCUGGUAGCUAUAGCUAUCAGUUACCACCAGAAAUUGAUCGUUUGAUUGCUACAUUAACCUGAGCAUCCAAGAGUCUUUGGUUUCUAUAAGAGAGGUGCUACCUCUUUUGCGUGCGUCAAACAACUCCACCAGAGCUUGCUAUCUUCCACUCUUGCGUUGCGCUCUUGUCAUCUCCGUUCCGGCUGUCUACGUGCACAAAGUUGCAUCCUUGUUCGGGACUCUGCACCUGAGGAGUAGGAGGGCGAUCAAGUUUUUGGGGAGCGCAUUUGCGGGACUGCUUGCUGUGUACGUCUACUUCCUGAAGGCGCAACUGCACGGCGAACUUUUGCACUGCGUCAACUCUCGAUCGACUACACCAAACAAGCUCAACUAGCAAUGUUGGGUAAUGGCGCAUCUGGUUCCUCCGGAACUGGCCCCGUCUCAAAGUACUUUCUUAUGAACCAGUCUUUCGUUUCAAAGUAUCUGUUGCAUGCUUUAUGUUCACUGCAAAUAUAAUAGAUCAUGUUCCUGUGUAUGCUAUCUUUAAUGUCAUGAUUUAUGUUUUAAUUCAAAUUAAACUGAACUGCAAACUUCCUCUAAUUUCAACAAUCCAAAAAUUUGAUAGGGCUUUUUCGGUAGUUGGCUUUGCUACGUAAUUGAACCGAAUGUAUUUGAUGGAACGAAUUAUAAGAGAUGGGUUGGCAGACUUGAGUUAUGGCUCACGGCUACGAACGUGUGGUUAAUUACCCAUGAGCGUCCUGUGGGACCGCACACCUCCGUUGAGGAUUUAUUGUAUAUAUGUCUGCUGACAAUUUGUUCAAAGGGGCUGUGAUCAGUGUUCUUGCUGAGAACUUGAUCGAUUCAUACAUGCAGCUUCCCUCUGGCAAGGCAGUGUGGGAUGCACCCAAGCAAAUACCUGGCAAGGCAGUGUGGGAUGCACCCAGGCAAAUUUCGGGGUAUCCGAUGCAGGGAGCGAGUUGUACAUCAUAGAGCAGUUCUACGACUACAAGAUGGUCGAUGACCGUUCUGUAGUUGAACAUGCUCAUGAGUUACAGGCUCUUGCAAAGGAUCUUGUGAAUGUCAUGUGUGAGCUGUCGGAUAAAUUUAUGGCUGGUGGUAUCAUUGCUAAAUUGCCUCCUUCUUGGAGGAACUUUGCUACUACUAUGAAACACAAGAGACAUGAGUUCACUGUAGCCGGUCCGAUCGGCACUCUUGAUGUUGAGGAAAGGCGAGAGCAAAGGAUUCACGUGCGCGUGGCAAAGGGAGGUUCUAGCGCUCAUAUGGUGUAGAAAGGAACUUCCAAUCCCACAAAAAAUAAGGGCAAAGCGAAAGCUAAGUUUCAACACAAGACUACUCAGACUACCAACUUUAACAAAAAGAAGAACAACAAGGGAAAGUGCUUAUGUGCGGUGUUUUUGACCAUUGGGCUAAGGACUGCAAGGACCGCAAGGACAAGCAGCAACACGGGCAGAAGAAGUCUGCUAAUGUUGUUAUUAGCGAUGCUGAGAAGGGAACAUCAGGGUAUGGUAAUCAUGCUUUUGUUCUUUCAGUUUAUCAUUUACCAAAUUGGUGGAUUGACACCGGAGCUAAUAUACAUGUAUGUGCCGAUAUUUCUUUGUUUUCCUCUUACCAGGUCACAGGGAUUAGAUCCGUGUUGAUGGGGAACGACUCAGGUGCUGCUGUUCGCAGUGUUGGUAUGGUCAAUCUAAAGUUUACUUCGGGAAAGACCGUGCGGCUAAAGAACGUGCAUCAUGUCUCCUCAAUAAAUAAAAAUUUUGUUAGCGGAUCCCUUCUUUGUAAGUAUGGUUUUAAGUUGUUGUUCGAAUCAAACAAGUGUGUUGUUUCUAAGUUUGGCUCCUUUGUUGGCAAAAGAUAUGAAUGUGAUGAUUUGUUUCGUUUAUCAUUAUCAGACUCUUGUAAUAAAGUUGUGAAUUAUGUGUAUAAUGAUGAUGAGUCAAAUGUUUGGUAUUCACGACUUUGUCAUGUUAAUUUCGAUUGUGUGUUGCGGCUAGCUAAUUUGAGUUUAAUUCCGAAAUUCACUUUGGUCAAAAAUUCUAAGUGUCAAGUGUGUGUGCAAUCUAAGCAACCCUGCAAGCCUCACAAGGCUACUGAGGCGAGGAACUUGUCACCAUUAGAAUUAGGGGGUGUUUGGUUCCACGAACUAAAGUUUAGUCCCUAUCACAUCGAAUGUUUAGAUACUAAUUAGGAGGACUAAAUAUGAGCUAAUUAUAAAACCAAUUGCACAGAUGGAGGCUAAUUCGCGAGACGAAUCUAUUAAACCUAAUUAAUGCAUGAUUAGCACAUAUUUACUGUAGCAUCACAUUGUUAAAUCAUGGGCUAAUUAGGCUUAAUAGAUUCAUCUCACGAAUUAGCCUCCAUCUGUGCAAUUAGUUUUAUAAUUAGUCUAUAUUUAAUACUCCUAAUUAGUAUCUAAACAUUCAAUGUGAUAGGGACUAAACUUUAGUCCGUGGAACCAAACACCCCCUUAAUUCAUUCGGACUUGAGCGAAAUGAACAGUGUGCUGACUAAAGGUGGAAAGAGAUAUUUCGUGACUUUGAUAGAUGAUUCUACUAGAUACUGCUAUGUGUAUUUGCUUAAAUCAAAAGAUGAGACAUUUAAUUUUUUCAAUAUCUAUAAGGCCGAAGUUGAAAAUCAACUUGAGAGGAAGAUAAAAUGUGUUAGACCGGAUCGAGGUGGAGAGUAUUUUUCAAAUGAGUUCAAUUUGUUCUGUGAGGAACAUGGCAUUAUUCAUGAAAGAACACCACCUUAUUCUCCUGAGUCAAAUGGAGUGGCUGAAAGGAAGAACCGUACUCUAACUGAGAUGGUUAACGCCAUGUUAGAAACAGUUGAACUUUCGUGGGAAUGGUGGGGUCAAGCCAUGUUGACUGCCUGUCAUACUCUUAACAGAGUUCCUUCGAAAAAGAAAGAGAAAACACCAUUCGAGGAAUGGGAAAAUAAAAGACUAACACUCUCAUACUUGCAUACUUGGAGUUGCUUGGCAAAACCAAUUGCUAAGAAGCGCAAGCUCGGGCCGAAAAUAGUUGAUUGUGUCUUUCUAGGCUAUGCUUUUUUAUAGUAUCGGAUAUAGAUUUUUGAUAAUUAAAUCUGGAGUACCGGACAUGCAUGUUGGUACAAUCAUGGAGUCCAGAGAUGUCACAUUCUUUGAGAAUAUUUUUCUGUUAAUUCCCGUGAAUGUAAUGAUACAGUAGUACACUUUGAAUAACCAGUUGAGGAGAAUCAUGAGAAGGAUGAUAAUGAAGGAACUCGAAAGAGUAAGAGACGAAGAACUACAAAGUCUUUUGAUGAUGAUUUCAUUAUGUACCUUGCAGAUGACACUUCAAGAACCAUUGCUGAGACUUAUGGAUCUCCUAAUACUGACUAUUGGAAGAAAGCAAUUAGAAGUGAGAUGGAUUCCAUAAUGUCUAAUGGGACUUGGGAGAUCGUUGAUCGUCCAUACGGGUGCAAACCUGUAGGGUGCAAGAGGGUGUUUAAGAAAAAGCUUAGGCUUGAUGGUACUAUUGAAAAGUACAAGGCGAGGCUUGUGGCCAAGGGUUACACCCAGAAAGAAGGCGAAGAUUACUUUGAUACUUACUCACCAGUUACCAGAUUGACCACGAUUCGAGUACUACUAUCCUUGGCUACCUCACAAGAUCUUCUCAUCCAUCAGAUGGAUGUUAAGAUAGCUUUCCUUAACGGAGAGUUGGAUGAGGAAAUUUAUAUGGAUCAACGUGAUGGUUAUGCAGUAGAAGGUCAUGAACGAAAAGUGUGCAAAUUGUCAAAAUCUUUAUAUGGACUGAAACAAGCUCCUAAGCAAUGGCAUGAGAAGUUUGACAAGACUCUCACGUCAGCCGAGUUUGUUGUGAACAAAGCCGACAAGUGCAUGUAAUACCGCUUUGGUGGGGGAGAAGGAGUGAUCUUGUGUUUGUAUGUUGAUGACAUAUUGAUCUUUGGUACUAAUAUCAAUGUGAUUGAGUAGGUUAAGAGAUUUUUGUCUCGAAGCUUUGAGAUGAAAGAUAUGGGAGUGGCUGAUGUAAUUUUGAAUAUUAAGCUACUAAGAGAAGGUAAUGUGGGGUUACACUUCUGCAAUCCUAUUAUGUGGAGAAGAUCUUGAGUCGCUUUGGUUAUAGUGACUGCAAGCAUGCUCCCACGCCUUACGAUUCCAGUGUGGUAUUGUGGAAAAACUGUAAAAUCGCAAGGGGUCAAUUGAGAUAUUCUCAAAUCAUUGGCUCGCUGGUGUAUCUAGCUAGCGUUACGAGGUCUGAUAUCUCAUUUGCUGUGAGUAAACUCAGCAAAUUUGUGUCAAAUCCUGGAGAUGAUCACUAGCAUGCUCUUGAGAGAGUACUGCGCUAUCUAAUAGGCACAACGAGUUGUGGAAUUCACUAUGCUGGGUAUCCUAGGGUACUGGAAGGUUAUAGUGACUCAAACUGGAUAUCAGAUACUGAUGAGAUAAAAUUUACGAGUUGAUAUGUGUUCACACUUGGAGGUGGCGCUGUUUCUUGAAAGUCUUGCAAGGAAACCAUCUUAACAAGGUCAACAAUGGAAGCGGAACUCACAACACUGGAUACCGCCAUAGUUGAGGCUGAAUGGCUUCGUGAUCUCUUGUUGGAUUUGCCGGUGGUUGAGAAACCGAUAUCGGCUAAUGAACUAUGACAAUCAAACAAUGAUUGCCAAGGUGAAAGUACUAAAGAUAAUAUGAAGUCAUCAAGACAUAUGAAGAGGCGGCCGAAGUAUGUUAGAAAGAUGAGAAACUCCGAAGUGAUAGCACUGGGCGAUGUCCAAAUAGCUAAAAAUCUGGCAGAUCAAUUCACGAAAAGUCUUUCACUAAAUGUGAUAGAUGAGGCAUCGAGGGAGAUGGGAAUGAGACCCACAUGAGAGUCCAUUGUUUAGUUGUGGACAAAUGUAGCUUAUGUCUAGGUGGAUGUUCAACCUUAUUCAGAUCUCCAUCAAAACACAGGUAUAUCCAACAAUAGUGGAACAAAUUCCCGAAUGAGCCUUGAAAUUUGGUGGGGAUUGUUAGAAUAAUUGGGUUGUUAGCUCAUUAUUUAAUUGAUAAAAUAAAUCCUAAGACCCAUUAGUAGUGGUAGUUACAAAUAAAAUAGUGGUGGUAGUUACAAAUAGAAUAAAAGAACAUGAUAGGGUCUCUAACCAACUUAUAAGGUGGAAUCAUGCUGCACCUGUUGAGAAGUUGAGGGAGGGAUAGCAGGAUACCAUCGUGUCAGUGGGGUGGUACUUGGGCACUGAUGGAUUCACACGAGUCAUGAACUAUAUAAAUAUAGGUUAAUUAUAAAACCAAUUGCAGGAAUGAACGCUAAUUCACGAGACAAAGUCUAAUUAAUUCAUGAUUAGCACAUAUUUGCGGUAGCAUCACGUGGUCAAAACAUGAACUAAUUAGGUUUAAUAGAUUCGUCUCACGAAUUAGCCUUCAUUUAUGCAAUUGGUUUUGUAAUUAACCUAUAUUAAAUAUAGUUCUAAUUAGUAUCUAAAUGUUUGAUGUGGUAGGGAUUAAGUAUCUAAAUAUUUGAUGUGGUAGGGACUAAAUUUAGGAAGCUUUUGACAUGGGCAUUUAGCUUUUGAAACAUGGGCAAACAUUAUAUAUUUACAUAUCCGACAAUUAAAAAAAAUUAUAUGCAACAACACAAGCGAAUAUGUUUACACCUUUUAAUGUGAACCAAAUUGGAUGAAUGCUGAAUGCGCUGACUAAAAUUCAAGCUGCAUCAGGAGAAAGUAAGCUGCAUCAGGAGAAAGAAAGCUACAUUAUAACCAGUUGAAUUAGCUCCGUUUCAUUAGCCGAUCAGAUCCUUUUGUUUUAAAUACUUAGCCGAUCAGAUCAAAUGACAUCUUUUCAAGUUGUUCACGGCCUCUUGCAACUAGCCUAUAUUCCCCCGCCGCCGACGCCGAAGCCCCAACCGACCAAAUCGAUGCCGUCGAUCGCCGGCGGCGGGUGCGGGCGCCUCUUCGCCGCGCACCGGGGCGCGAUCUGGUGGCUCCGGGGCCGCCAGCACCCGCCCUUCUCGUCCCUUGCCGGCGGGGGAAGCCGAGGCGACGCGCCGCAUCUGCCGGUGCUCAUUGUCGGAGCUGGGCCCGUCGGGCUCGUCCUCUCCUUCCUCCUCACCAAAUUCGGUAAGAGCCCCGUGCCCCUCGCGCGUGGCUGUUCCGAAUCGUGCUUCUAAAGUAGUAUAGGCGGUAGUGUUGAGCUGAGCGGAAAUUCAAUGAGGGAACCGGACGAAUGUGAUGUGAUGAAACAAGUCAUCUCUCAAGUGCGGAUCGUGGAAAUUCUUGUGAAGACCGGCAGCCUCUGAUACAGUCACUCGUUUAUCCCAAUCUUGCAGGGAUCAAAUGCGCGGUGAUAGAAAAGAAUGUGGAGUUCACUCGGCAUCCUCGAGCGCACUUCAUCAACAACCGCACAAUGGAGGUGUGUAUUUUUACUAUUGCACUCCUACUUCGCUAUGUCAGCUUUAUGUGUGUUGUUUGGGCGGUAAAUUUCACUGGUGGUUGGCAUUUUCAGAUCUUCCGCAAGUUGGAUGGCUUGGCUGGGGACAUCGAGAGGUCCCAGCCACCAGUGGAUCUGUGGAGGAAAUUCGUAUAUUGCACUUCACUCUCUGGUUCUGUUCUUGGAUCGGUUGAUCACAUGAAGCAGGAAGGCCAGUUCAGUUCUUCUCAUGUUGAGCGUUUGUUGUCUUGCACCUCUGUUCAUAUGUCUUGUGACGAGUAUUUUUUGCAGUUUUUGACAAGGUCAUUAGUCCUAUAUCGGUUGCACACUUCUCGCAAUACAAGUUAGUCGAUUUGCUACUCAAGAAGUUGGAAGGUAUUGGUUUCCAGACAUGCUUUCCCAGUGAGAUUGGUGACUCAGCGCAGGAUUUGGGGUUGGAAAGCAAGAUAUUGAUGGGGCAUGAGUGCACAUCCUUUCAGCAGACAGAUGAGGGCAUUUUGGUUGGAGUAUCAGUUAACAAUGGUGGGAGGAUACGGGAGAAGAAGCUACAUUGUGGUCUUCUUAUAGGGACAGAUGGUGCAAGAAGCACGGUGCGUGAAUUGGCAGGUAUAUCUAUGGAGGGUGAGAGGGACUUGCAGAAACUGGUCAGUGUGCAUUUUCUUAGCAGAGAUCUAGGCAGAUAUUUAUCCAGUCAGAGGCCUGGGAUGUUGUUCUUCAUUUUUAACCCAGGCGCAAUUGGUGUACUUGUUGCACAUGACCUGGAGAAUGGGGAAUUUGUAUUGCAGGUAUGUUAACCUUCACUAUUUUAGAAGCAAGGCUUCAGCAAAUGUUACAUUUGAAAUUGUAUAUUUCUCAUGUGUGGAAUAUCACCUUCUAUUCUAUUUUCAGAUUCCAUUUUAUCCUCCUCAGCAGAUGUUUGAAGAUUUCAGUGCCAAGGUGAUCUAGUUCUAGUAUUUUUCUUUAUUCUAGUUCAUUAUCUAACAAGAUGCCGUUUGCUGCAUCUAAAUGUGUUUCUAUUUAUUUCUGAAAUACUUGUGCUGUAGUGUUCUUGAAACAACUUAUUUCUAAACUGGAAUAUGUUAUGCAUAGGUGAAUUGUUGACUAAUUUGACGCAUAUAUGUAAAUGCACCCCUGCUUACUUUUUAAGUUUUCCUUGUGAUUUAGGUAUGUGAGCAAAUCAUUGUCAAAUUAGUUGGAUGGGAGCCUGCUGAUGUUCAGGUUUUAGACAUAAAACCAUGGGCUAUGCAUGCUGAAGUUGCAGAGAAGUACAUUGGCUGCAACAAUCGUGUAAUCCUUGUUGGUGAUGCUGCUCACCGUUUCCCUCCUGCUGGUGGUUUUGGUUAGUGGUUUACUUCAUUUUUGAUACUGAAAUAUUACCAUUUCCAUUUGCUUUAGUGUGCAUCAGAAGUCCAACGGUCAGAAUUGUGCAUUUGCUGAUUUGUUUUUGCAGGAAUGAACACCGGUGUUCAGGAUGCGCAUAAUCUGGCUUGGAAAUUGUGCUUACUCUUGAAUGGUGUUGCUUCACCAUCAAUAAUGCAAACUUAUGAAUCAGAGCGCCGACCUGUUAGACACUUCUCACAGCUUGUCAGUUAACAUCUCCUUGACAAAGUUAAUUAAGUUUGAUUCACAUGCUUGCUUUUUGCAGGUUGCUAUUUUUAAUACAGGGCUUAGUGUGGAGAAUUUUAAGGCGGCAAUGUCUAUUCCUGCUGCCCUUGGUCUUGAUCCAACUGUUGCAAACUCAGGUGCAACAUCCUGCUCCAGCAUGAUGGCAGCAAACAUUCAGUUAUUUUCUUGUUAAAGUAAAUACUGACACUGUUGCAGUUGCGCUUAAGUUAUCGUGCAAUGUUAAGUACAUCAAAACUUUUGCCUUGUCAUGAUCUGACCUUGUGUAUCCUUUACAUUUAUUUGGCAGUGCAUCAGGUUAUCAACAGAAGCUUAGGAUCUGUCAUUCCCAGAAAUUUACAAAAGGCAGUUCUGGAAGGAUUGUUUUCCAUUGGUCGGGCACAGGUCUCAGACUACAUUUUGAAUGAGAGAAACCCCCUUGGGUCUUCGAGACUAGCAAGACUGAGAAGUAUUCUUGAUGAAGGAAAAAGUCUACAGCUGCAGUUUCCAGCAGAGGAUCUCGGCUUCUGGUAAGACUCACUAGUGUGAAUCAUUUUCCAAAAGGGGGUGUGUUUUUUUCUUUCUUCCUUUUCAUUCAGCUGAUGAAUGAGCAAGUGUGCAAAGUUUCGUAUGUUGAUCUAUUGUGUGCUUUCAGCUAUGAAGGAGGAGCCCUAGUCACUGAAUAUUGUGCUGAAAACACUCAGAAAGCAGAGAAAGUGAAGCAUUUCAAGAGGUCAUCAGAGUACGUACCAUCUGCUAAGGUUGGUUCACGGCUACCACAUAUGCUAGUAAGAGCACGUUCAGCUUCAAGUGAGGUAUAUCCCUUGGACGCCUAAUUGAUACGGCAUCUUUUUAGCUAUGUCUCUAAUGUUUCAUACAUUGAGAUUGUGAUGGAUUCUUGCAGGAUGUGUUCUCAACACUGGACCUGGUAAGCGGGGAUAACCUCGAGUUUGUUCUCAUUAUCGCACCAAUGAAAGAGUCAUACGAGAUCGCCCGUGCCACCCUCAAGAUAGCAGAUGAGUUUAAGUUAAAAGCCAAAGUAUGUGUCAUGUGGCCACAAGGUUCAGCGGAUGUGGAAAUGGAAGAGAGCAGAUCUGAGUUGGCACCCUGGACGAACUGUGUUGAUGUUGAGGAAGUACCACGGGCACCUGUUAAUUCAUGGUGGGAGAUGUGUCAGAUCAGUAGGAAAAGUGUCAUUCUUGUUAGGCCUGAUGAGCACAUAACAUGGAGAAUGGAAUCAGACAUGGUGAGGGAUGCCGAUUCAGAAGUUAGGAGAGUCUUCUCUCAUAUUCUGUGCCUAAAUAGCCACCUGGUAUAGGAAUUUGCAAAUUUCCUUUCACUUGGUUAUGCAUAGCAAAGAGUUCGUGUUAUUGUGAUAAUACGAACCAGAAUUUCCACUCAAGUGAUAUUUUACCUGCACUUGGAGUUGGAUGAACGAUUGACUGCGACAACAUUUCUUCAUAUUACAUGAUACUGUGGUAUUUUGGCUGUUCUGGUUCUUUCUGGUGCAGUGCCAUUGUCCGAUCUUUGUUUUGAGUUCUCCAUUUGUCGUUCAUAAAAAGUCAUCGCAGCGCCUCAUCCACAGAUCCACUAUGAGCUUUUUUUUUUUUGCCAGCACCGCGAUGUCCAUGGGGCUGUAGACGAGCGACUCAUCUUUGAAACCCAUGGAUUAUCCAUGUACAAUAUUUUUUUAACAUCUGUCAACAUAUGUUGACAUUUAUUUUCAUUUUUUUAAAAUCUGAUUUAUACCAACAUUUUUUUAUACAUACAAACAUUUUUCUUUAACUAGUUUACAUUCACCAAUAUUAUUGCUCAAUAAUUUUUUACAUGCCCUAACUUUUUUUUUGCACUCACCAUCAUUUUUUUUACGUUCACCAAUUUUUUCCUAAAAAAUAUUGAGAUAGUUUCUCUAAAAUGUUGAGACAGUGUGUUUUGCACCGUCGUGGAUCAGUUUUAGACUUCUGGUAAGUUAUCUCUACUGUAAAGAGUGAGAGAAUUGAUGUCAAUUUCCACACAGAAUUAUACCUACGUACCCCUGGGGAGAUUAGUAUCGUCUUAAUCCCCGUUCUAAAUCCCAUCCACACCUUUUUUUUUUUACGCCACACCCUUCCCGUUACCUGCCCACCGUACCCGCACCACUAAUGAUGCACGCAUCCACGCCCAUCCUUCCUUUUUUUCCUCAAUCCCACCUUCUCCACGCCGAUCCUCAAGGCAUGUACAACAGUUUGACAGUUGUUGUCUCUAAGUAUUUCCAUAUCACAUAAAGACAAUGACAUAGACAACUUAUGCAAUGAUUCGUCUUUUAGGCUGUCUAUAAACCAUUUAUUUCAUAUACAUACACAUUUAUCGUGGUGAUCAAAAAUAAAUUUGAUUUUGUAUACCACUUUGUUGCCCAUAUGUGUGAUCAUAUUUGGGUACACUCAUUUAUCACUUAUUAGUACAAUACAAAGUCCCACUGAACAAAUUUGGGAAAAAGACAAUAAUACUGCAAAGCUGAUACAUGCUAAUCUUGACAACAUGCUGAUACAUGAUUGUGUUCUGAAUACACAAGAGCUACAGUAAGAGAACAAGAUCCAUGUAAGAAUUUGAAGCUUAGGAGCCUUACUAGUAAGAAUAAAACAGCAGUUGGCCCUAAUGCUCAACAGUUGUGCUCGCAAAAAUAAGCGUCUUGAAUUGAUGAACUGAUUACAGGAACAUGCUAGGAGACAACUUGAACCGACAGACUGAACAAAAGACCAUGAUUUCAACUUGCUUAAUCUUUCAUCAUAUUCUGAAUCAUAAAAAUCACUCUUAAAAUUAGAAACACAAUUCUACGUUUCAGAUUUACAAACACCAGAUGUAAAAGGAAUCACGAAUCAGAAAAGAGAAGAUCUGCACAUCUUCACUCGGUAUUAUUUGCAUCAGUGAUGUUGAAGUAAACAUAUAAGCAAAGCAGCACUGGCGUUCAGAGAAGCAAGCACGGAAGCCAUGUACUUUGUUAGAUGGACUGGAGUAGCGGACCUGAAUGCCGAUGGGUCAGCGGACGGUAGCAAGGCUUGGAGCCAGAUCCAGGCUUCGAGCAACUCGCCGCCCUGCUCUCCCUUUCGCUGCGCCGGUCGGUGGACGAAGCAACGGAGACGGAAGCAGCUGCUGCCGUCGAGCCUUUCCGCUUCUCGGUCGUCAUCGCGCCUUUCCGCUCCCCCGCUGCCGCCGCCGCGCCCCCGUCCGCUCCAGGGAUGCCGUCGCAUCUGGUAAGCCUUGCGCAACUGCUGCAUCCGGCAUCUAGGAAGGGAGGAGCAUCGAUUUUGCCACGGAUUUUGGCGCGCGGGGAAUGGAUUUUAUCGCCAUCGUAGCUGAUUUUUGGCUCACCGCAGCCGAUCCACGAGGAGACGACGACGGCAUACAACGGCGAUGGGGCCGGCGGUUUGGCUUGGGAGCACGAGCCCAUGCGUCUCUCUCCUCAUUAAUCGCUGUACACGUGGGACAGAUUUGCCUCCGUGGCAGCAUAUAGACAGCUGCUGUCUCUCUGUUGUACAUAGCCUCACGCCCCUUCCCAUCCCCUCCCCCAUCGCAUCUCCCCGCCGGAGCGGCCCCGCUGCGUCCUCCCCCUCCACUUCGAUACCCUCCUCUCCAUCUGCAGGGACAGGCGUACAGAGGGGUAAGCCGGAUGCCUGUGAAGGAGGCGGGCUCGGCGAGGGGCGCCCCGGGGACCGCGGCUUCGGCGAUCGCUGCGGGGGUCGUAAGUCGUUAUGAUUCCAGCAAGGGGCGUAUAAUUUAUAGACUUCCCAUAAGGAUUCGAAGCGUACCGAAGACUCGAAGGAUACUGAAAGCGGAGGGCGGUCAUAUAUAUACAUAUUCCGAAAUCUAGGGUUAGCAAUUCCCGCAGUCUUCUCGUCGCCGCGCAGUUGGUCCUAUUCCGAUCUAGAUCUAACCAGGAGAAGAGAGGAGAGAAGACGAGUAUGGAGGUAAACGGAGACGAGGGGAUAGAGCAGAGGAAGGAGGAUCAGUUGUGGGUUCCCCCCGCCGCCGCGAACCAGACGACCCCGACAUCCACCGUCCCCGGGAAAGAGGUCAUGUCUAUUGAUGACGAGGCCAUAUCCGGCGUCAAUCCCCGGAGUGCCGCUGCUGCGCAGAAUAUGUAAGUCUACUUAGAGCAUGUAUACAGUGGGAGUAGCUUAGUUUUAAUAUUAAUUUGUUUGAUUUCAGUCGUUUGCUAUACGAUUCAUUGAUAUCUGGAUGUAGCUGUUGGUCUUUAGUGACAUGUGUAGAUGAAUUAUUAUCAAUCCAAUAAGAUUUUGCUAGAGCAUGUGUACAGUAGGAGUAGCUUAGUUUUAAUAUUAAUUUGUUCGAUUUCAGUCGUUUGUUAUACAAUUAAUUAAUUCGUUGAUAUCUGGCUGUAGCUGUGGGUCAUUUAGUAACCUGUAUGUAUUCAAUAAGAUUUUGCUACACAUUUCCAAUGCAAUCUGUGCGUUUUUUAGUUUAAAGAGUUGAGGUUGUUCUUAUUGCUCUAAUGAACACUAAUUUUAGUUGAAAUUGAUUUUGUUGCCUUCUUGCUAGUAUUACAAGAACUUUUGACUAUAUUAGUUAUGGCAAUUUCAUUUUCACCUUCAUCUUUGCCAUGCGGUUUGUCAGCAAUGUAUUCUUUUUUUUAAGAAUAAUUAGCUUGUUUCAAGUUAACAAUUUAAAAUAACUUCUUGGUCAUAACUCAAUGGACUUGGGGCUGACAUACUUGUGCGUUUCCAGUGUGGCUGCUUGUCAACUGUUUGUUGCCAAACAGAAUUGGGAUGGGCUGGAGACUUAUCUUGCUGAGUUCUUGAACAAGGUUCAGGGCGACAAGUUCUAUCCCCACCCAGGGCUUUUUUGCUCCCUUUACCAAGCACAUAUCUCAUAUCUCAUUGGGAAAAAUCACUUUGUGGAGGCUCAAGCUGUUUUCGAUGGCAAGGUGAAGCCUCUUCUUGAUCAAGAAAAAGAUGACAUGUACAAGCCAUUUGACUUAGAAGCCCGUGUGCAAAUGUUGCGGAACUGCGUGUACAAUUGGUAUGUUGUAUUUCUUUAUUAUAAUAAUGUUUGUUCCUAUCGCAUGUUAGUCAUAUUUCAUAUGAGGCGAACAGGCCUCUAGCUGAGUUGGUUAGAUGGUCUCAGUAGCACUCAGGUCCUGGUUUCGACUCCCCGUGGGAGCGAAUUUCAGGCUAGGGUUAAAAAAGUCCCCUUGUCUGUCAGCAUAACCAAAGCACAAAUUAAGGCCUGGCCCAAGUCGUAGCUGUGAUUGGUUUGGACCCUCCUACCUGGAGUAGUUGCAGUGGUCACCAGCCCAGCGGUAGUCUCACAAGGGUUAUGGCCCCUGUGUAAGGGUGGGGCAAAGGUUCGGGAGUUUUCUCGGCCUGUGUGAGAAGGUCUUCUCUCUUAGGAAAAAGCCCGGGGGCUGUCUUACCCCCCGCAGGUCGAGUUUUUUUUUAAUAUAUGAGGUCGAAACACUAACGAAAGUUCAUAGUACUCGUUUCAUUUAGGCCAAUACAUUAUUAAAGUUCAAUUGUUUAUACUUGCGAAAUCAUUGUUUUUUAAAAAUAUUCUUCUGAAGCUAUUACUACAAAGUUUUGUAUUCCUUUAUACUCAUGGAGAUUUGUUGGAGUGUGGCUAGUAAUUUUUUUGGAUACAUGUUUUCAAGUUAUGUGUUUUAUUUCUUAUGCAGUUUGCCUUUGGCUGCUGCUGAUGAUGAAGAUAUGAAUGUAGUUCUUGCUGAUUAUCUGAUGCUGUAUUUCCCGACUAGGUAAGUAUUUUCAAUCACCUGAUAAAUUUUGUUGCCAAUUACAAAAUAUAGUUGCAUGUGUUUCACGAAAUAAAUCAUUGCUGUUAUAUCUUAAUCUAUCUAGAUUAGUUCUUUUUCUCUAAUUAUAAAUUUAAGAAGUAUUUACAAGUCACUUUCACUCAUGCAAUUGUUUACAUUUAGAAUGAUAUUAUCUAUCUCUUAACAGAUUUAUAUAAAGUAAUUACUAAGUAGUUUUCAAUCCUACACUUGUUUAUAUUUUGAAUGAUAUUAUCUGGCAUGAAUUAUGUGGCUACAUUUGAUAAAGUCAUUGCUUUAUACAGCUUGCAGAAUGAUGCAAAGAGAACAAAUUCAAUUUCAGAUUUUUUAGUGACUUUCAAUGAUAAAAAAGGAAAACGCCAUCGUUGUUUGGCAUGUCAGUGGGUGAUGUCAGCUUCAGCCAGGUCAAUAGAAUAUCACAUCAAGCACUCAAAGCAAAUUAACUGCUGUCGCAGAGUAACAAAAUGGAUGCUUGAAUAUCUCGCAGAUGUCAUGAAUGAAAAAGAAAUUAGUAUACAGGAUAUGACUGCUGCUUCAUCGGGGAUUCAGUUAAGAAAGAGGAAGGCUCCAUUCUCACCUCGAUCUACUGUGUUAGAUCUUGAUCAACAAUUUCCUAUUCCUGGGAAACAUGCUUUUGAAAUAUGGAAGGAUCUUAAUGCAUCUAACAUGUUAGCUUUGUAUGCUCUUAUGAAAGGCAAGUCCAAGUCAACCGCAGCAGCAAAAGCAAAAGAAAUAUUGUUUUGCCAAGAAAAGCUUAUCAAUGAGCUGAAGAGAUUGUUUUUGAGUCCUACGGAUAAACAUGUUCCACUGGGUUCUCUGGCAUUCAUGAAGAUCAAGGCUCUCCUCAAUCUGUCAGAUGAUCUCUUGCCAUUGCUCAAGAACCUGCCAGAUGCUUCUGAACUAUUGUUAGAUCAAGAUAAGAAAGUUACUGAACUGAGGCGUUGCUUUAUGGUUGCUGCUGCUGAGCGCCUCCCUCCAACAACACCUGUUGAUGUUACGUCUCCCAGCACUGAUAGUUCCGAGAGUGUCUCCAGCAAACUAUGUCUCCUAUAAGUUGUUUUAGUAGAUGCCCAAAAAACUACUGUAGAAUAACUUAUGAGAAAGGUUCAGGUGCUCCUGCGCGCAGGUUGGGGUGCUACCAUGCUACCAACCCACCUUUAGAUGUGCAUCAAAAAUUCAUCUACAAAUUUGAAUGGAUUUUCUUAUAAUCUUCUACCAUCAUGCAAAAAUCGAGGAUGAACAAAAUUUGUGCAAGAAAAACAACAAAAAAGAUAAUUCAGUGAAUGAUUAGUUGCGGAUCUAAUUGAACCUGCACCUGUUACUGUUGAUGCCGUGAUUUGUCUUUUUUUUUGUUUCCUUUUGCACAAGUUUUUGUUCAUCCUCAAUUUUGCAUACCAUUCAAAUUUUUAGAUGACUUUUUUAUGCACAUCUAGAGGUGCAACCGCCGGUGGGUCGGUAGCACAGCUCGCGGGAGCACCUGAACUUGUAUAUUUCAUUUUCUGUUGGACCACGUUGCUUAACGGGUUUGUUAGAGCCGGCACAUGCACCUCCGAACCCAUUAGCGCAUGCAUGGGAGCUGUAUCGCUGGAGCCAGGCAUGCAUUUGAUGCUGAUUGGUUGCCUUGGUUGCUGGCUCUCUCGCGUGAGUUGGUGUUGAAUUCAGUGCUCCCGUGCAGGCAAUUUGCAGCGCUCGAGCCAGGCUCAGCGGAAACGGAACUCAUUUUCGUUUCUCCGGAGCCAGGACAGGCUACGACCCCCUCGUUGCACCUGCUCAGCCUGGCCGAACCCUCCAGAUGAGCAACCAAUCAUCUGGAUGGUCCCUCAACCCUAGAGGUCGGGGCUCCUGAUGUGGUCGAACGAGGUGGGCCAUCGUAAUUCAACUUCCCGUCCCGUCCUUGUUCCUAUGGCACGUCAAGGGUCAGCGCCUCGCACUGUGCGACGAGGCAGUUCCCGUGCGCGCGUGGCGGGCGCUGCGCUAGUCAUGGCAUGCCACGCCUGUGACUGCCGUGCACAGGGGCCUGACUAGCGGCACCGUGGAGUGAUCACACCAGCCGCCCGCCCCCCCCCCCCCCCGGGAGCCUUUGGCCUGCUGCGAUCUGUGGGCCUCAUCACCGCGUCGUGCUCUGCAGGCACAAGCCGGUGUCAAGGCGGCGAGCUCCUACGACCCUGCCCAUGCUUGGGACGUGACGGCAGGCACGGAGCAGAGUACUAGGCGUGCCAUACGGGCCAUGAUGGCUCUGCUGACCGAGGCCUCGUGGGGGCGGUCCCUUGGGUGAAGCCACACUGGACGGCCCGCGGGUCUUUGGCCGUCGCCGGAGGAGAGGCCUACGCGCCGCAUCGGCGGGACGUGCAUUUAGGGUGUGUUUGGUUUGAAGUUGAAUUAGAUUGGAACGGGCUUGAUCCUAUCAGUCUGUGUUCGGUUGGAAAUGCAGUGGGUUGGGUUCAUCAUUUAUAGGAAAUAUACCUCAUAGAUACAGGUUGGAAUUGUCCACCCAAAAUGAGCGGACCAUCCCGACCCACAUCAACGCCAUCCGUCUCUGUUCUCCCGUGGGGCGGCAGCAGCAGGCGGGGCGGUGUCGGGGAGAAAGGAGGAGGGGCGGGCCGGCACUGGGGAGGAGGGGCGGCCGGCACCGGGCGGCGCCAGCGAUAAGGGAGCGGUAGGCGGUGUCAGGGAGAAGGGAGGGGCGGGCCAGCGUCGGGGAGAAGGGAGCGGCGGGCCGACGUCGGGAGCUCCGCUGAUCUAAUGGAUGAUAGGUGGGUUUGCCAACAGAUGUAACUAAGGGUGUUAAAAUAAUAUCUAUACCAACCUUCUCAACUCCUCCAAUUAAAAAAAACUUGAUAUAAUUUAUCCUUCUCCUUCGAAUACGAGAUGAUUCAAAACUAGAAAAGUGGAUCGGCUCAGGUCGUUCCAAAACCACAAACACAUGCUUGAUGCCUAGCCCGCGCCAGUCCUCGCGGCGCUUGCGGUUGCAGAGAAGAGUUUCUGAUUUCUGAAUCCUGCAUUGCUGCUGAAUCGGUGGGCGUGGGCCAGCAGGCCGUAAUUGGGCCGAGGAGCCUAUCCAGGCCCGAAGAUACCACUGUCCCCUUGCCUAGGGCAAAUGAACCGCCAAUGACUUGGUUCUCUGCCCGCGCCCGCCUCCCGCCGCGUAACCCGACGAUCUGACAUGGCCUAGGUCGCCGACGACUCGACAUCUCUGUGCGGCGGGUGUGGACCCGUGGACGCGCCGAGCUACCGGCGACGACCACGGGCUGUCUAUACCGGCGACGCCCGUGACGCGGCGAGGACGUCGACCUCCUCUACGCAGCAGAGCUCUCCUCCGCCCUUGUGUCGCCUCACGCCGUUCGUCGAACUCGUGGUAAAGUAAGUUGCAACCGGCUCAGGCUCAAUUGUUGUCUGGGAACUCUUGUAUGUAUUCAACAGACAUAUCACCCCACUACGCAAUGUCCCAUCGUAUGACCUCCUUCCUACCACCCAAAUCUCCUCUGCAGGUCUUGAAACAGAAAGAUGAGGUACACGGCACGGGAGAUGGAGUUCAUGGGCGGAUCUACAGAAGUUUUGGUCUGCAACGACAGGGCGGCUUCUGCCCUAACUUCUCUUUCGAAUUGGUUGGUUUUGAACAAUGAAGCCAAUUUUGAUUCCCGUGAACCCAAGUUUACAGUGGCCCGAUUCAUGGAAAGGCUUAUUUCGGGAAAAAUUUUGAACUGGCAUAAGAACAAUGUACUGCCAACGCCUGAGAAUCAGCGAAUCAUUGGAGAGUACUUUGAUAUCACUAAGAGACUUUGCACGGGCAUUAAGGUUAACCCUGUGGCUGGGUAGGUUAUCCUUGUGGGUUAACUGUUUUUUAUUGUUUCAGUAUUUCAUGACUUUGCUUUGUCCUAAUUUCCAUUUUUUGGCCUGUAAACACUACAGCACUGCCAAAUUUGAGGAUUCAAGAGAAUAUGAUUUAUUUCGCAUUUUGGGAGCUCCACUACUCCAUGCACCUGCAUUCAAUGAGCAGGUAUUGACUCCAAUCAUUUAGUUGUAACAUAAAUGAUUAUGCAUGAUAACAUUUCUUUAGUAUAUCACACGUUGAAACCAUUGUUGCUCAAAGUAAAUUUGUUUAUUCCUGGAUAUAUGAUUGACACCAUUAGUAAGAUUCCCAGGUGCAUAGUCCGAUCCCACCCUGAUUAACCGGACUACACAACAUAAAGUGUGAUAAAUUAUGAACUUUAUCAACCCCAUGGUUAAACCAUUCAUAUUGGACUCACCAUUGUCAGUAACAUGGGAAAAAAAGAAAAGGGAGUUCUUAACUUUAUGCAGAUGUCUUAUUUUCCAAAUUUUAUAAGAUCAGCUUUCUCAUUUUUCCAAUCUUAUAAAAUGAGCUUGCCUAUGAACUUCUAGGUUUUUCCCUCUUCACAAGAGCAACUUGAGCCUGGACAAAUUGGUAUUUUGUAUUUGAACGGGGAAUUCAAUACCAUUUGUAAGGUAUGAACCUUUACUUUAAGUGGAGUCUCUCAUUUUUUAAUAAGCUUUCUGGUUUUAUAUCUUCUGUAUGUUUUAUGCAGCACAAUGGUACUGUAUACAUGUUAGUAGAAGAUGAAGCCCUUCACAAGAAGAACCCUUCUGCUUCUUGGAAAACUAUGGUAUGUAACUAUGUCAUUGCAGGCCCCUUCUGUGCAUCUGUGUUUUGAAAAUGGCAAUUGUGCUGAUUAUUGUCUUGUUCCAUGUUGAUAAUAUUAGGUCGAUGAAAAAGAAAUAUUUGUAGCUGGUGACUUUUCAUACACCAGGGUAAGCAAUCAGCAGAAUGCUUUGUUUUUUUCCAACUGGUACAGUGUUAACUAAUCUAAGGUUGAUGUUGUGCGUACUGUAUUUUGUUGCAACAGGCACACAUCAAUCAGAAAGUGUACAAGUGUUCGAAAUGUUUGGAGGAAUUCUGCACAGAAAUUAAUUAUGAAAGACAUCUUGAAGCUCAUGUGCCAACUUCCAAAGCUGCUCUGGUUUUUGCCUUAACACCCCCCCCCCUCCCCCUGCCCUCCUCCCAACAAAACACAUGAGCUCUUUAUAUUGUUUCAUUGAAUCUUUUUCAAUAUUCUGUAGAAUCGUUCAUGGAACAAGGAUGCGUUUGCGAAAUACUGGGAUCAGGUAAGCUAUUUACACUGGGUUGCUUAUUGUAUAGUGUAUAUUGCUUUACAUAUUUUCAUAGUUUUUUUUCAUGGUUUAGAUUUCGGAUGAAGAUGCUUACAGCAUCCUGUCCGAUGGUGAUCAAACUGUAGAGGUAUUUGUGAGCAUUGACAUUUCUUUGUACAAUCUAUCGAGCUUCUAUAAUUUUGUGGUUGGCUUGACAUGGAAAAAAAAAUGUUUCCAAAAAUCACAUGGAUCGCCUGUCAACUCAAUUUUCAAGAAAUGGACACUAGGACCAGAAUUUCUUGUAACACCACCUGAGGUGAGGGAUGCUCUGAAACAACUGAAGGUAAAGAUUGUUGACUCAAACUGUUCAUAUUCAUCAACAUCAACAUGUAUACUUUGUAUCCACCCACCCCUGUUUCUCUAUAGCAUUUGAUGGAAAGGAAAAGGGAGAAGCCAUCGUCUGAUGUGCUUCUAGGAAUCUUAAAAGUCGGAAGUGAGGGCACUUUCUUCUCCACCAAUUUGCUCGAAGGAGGGUUUUCCUUUGUGGAGGCAGGCAAAAGUCAGAAUACAACGAGAACCAUGCUAACAUAUUUUAGCUUGAGAGUUGAAGAAGUGUUGGUAAUGGAACUUACUUAAUUGUUAUGAAGUUUCUUUUCAAUUGUUCCUGACUACAAAUAUGACAUCAGGCUAAAAAGUGGUAUACUGAAAAGACGGUGCAAGCAAAUGUAGUGAUGGAAGAACUUUUGGCGGAAUGUACUGAUCCAAGGUUUGCUGCUGAGUUCAUCCAAAAGUCACAUUUUGAAAUACUUUUUUACUAAGAGCUAUGUUCUGUGAUUUGCAACCAGUAAAUAAAUUUGUACUAAAAGCUAUGUUCAGCAUAUUUGCUAGAUAUAUAGAUAGCCCAAGAUUAAUAUUUUUUUUACAUGCAGUGAAGAAUAUUUCCCAAACUUCGUAUCAAGAAAAAGAUUGGUUAGGUUGUUCACACUUUUCAAUAAGGAUAUAGUCACAGCUUUGACACGAACUGGGAGGAAAAUUGCUAAACGUUUGCUAAACUACAUCUUGAAAGCUCAUAAGGCUGGCCACUGCUGGGAUGGGGAAUGGAAUAUACUUGACAUUUGGGUUCGUGGGGAUGGUGCAACAUUAAUCAUUGACAAGAUGCCAGUAAAUGCAACUAAAGAUGGAAUUGUUGCUGACCUUCAGAAGUUCAUAGUCCUCUUGCGCCCGUAUUACAAGAUUGAAGGCAUCAAGGGUCCAACCUAUUUUGACGAAUUUCAUUCUGAUGUGAUGUCUCUCCCUGAGCUUGAGUCUGAAAAAUUUGAGAUUGUCCAGAAGUUUCUUGCUGACCAUAUGGUUUUUCUGCCACCAGCGUCCACGUCAAAUUUGCUCGAAAG
rnacentral:lncRNA from 1 species